AUUUUCUUCAAAACUUAUUAUGGAUCUUUUCAGAAAGUAUAAACAUUUUUUUAAGUAAUUAAGAUUGACCGUAAUAAAACAAGGAGGAGGAAAAGAAGGAAAAAAAAAAGUUGAUUAUACUAAAGUUGGUUGGUGUGAGUAGUUUCUUAGUCUCACUCUUUAAGAGAGGUCAGGGAUUCAAACCCCGCUCUCGUAUGAAGUCACCACUUUGACCAGCACUUCACCUCUUACGAGCCGACUCGGUGCGAACGGGGAUUAAUUUAGGUUGUGGUACGGACUUAAAGGUGUCUCCCACAGUUGAGGCCCACUCAAAACCACCUCGUGGUUAAAAAAAAAAAAAAAGUUGACUAGCUUACUGUUUGGUAUUUGCAAAAGAUGGCCGCGAAAAGAUCCAAUUAAUUACGAAGAGCAAAGACUGUGACCAACUUACAUCAAUGCUAAUGAAGCUCUGCCCAGAUUUUAACCCUCACAAAUAUUCGAGGGAUGUCUACUCCUCAUUUAUGGGUAAGAGAGAAGACUAUCUUCACUCAAAUUAAUUGAGAAAAUAAAUACCCCCACAAUACUUUUGUGGGGGUUCGAACUACUGCCCUCCAAGUUGGAGGGCAGCAGCCUUGGCCACUCGGGCUUAGCCGAGUGGUUUAAAAACGCGUUUAAAUUUAAUCUUGAAUUGUUAAUGUAUUAUCGAGAGGAGGUCACGUGUCACGUUAAGAUUCAAUAUUUUAUAUACAUAACGCACCCUGAUGCUGACAAGAAUGAAUCCACCGGCAUCGGGGGCUAAUACUUGAAGUUUCUACUUUGAAAUGUUGAAACUCGAUGAGGGAAAGUAAGACUAAGAGGUGGGUGCUAGCUGUGGUCGUUUUUUAAUCAUAGUGCAAAAAAGUGAAAUUAUCAAUAUUCUUUGUAGUUAGGUUAGAUGCAUUAUUUUCAACUUGCCGCAGAAUCUGAAAUUAAUCGCCCAAAAUCUCCAAGCGUUUGACAACACUGAUUAAUCUAAUUUUCAAUUUGAAUAACUAAUUUUAAGUCGUUGUAAGUUACAAAUAAUAAAAACUUGAGUCCUUGUAACAACAUUUUCUUCAAAACUUAUUAUGGAUCUUUUCAGAAAGUAUAAACAUUUUUUUAAGUAAUUAAGAUUGACCGUAAUAAAACAAGGAGGAGGAAAAGAAGGAAAAAAAAAAGUUGAUUAUACUAAAGUUGGUUGGUGUGAGUAGUUUCUUAGUCUCACUCUUUAAGAGAGGUCAGGGAUUCAAACCCCGCUCUCGUAUGAAGUCACCACUUUGACCAGCACUUCACCUCUUACGAGCCGACUCGGUGCGAACGGGGAUUAAUUUAGGUUGUGGUACGGACUUAAAGGUGUCUCCCACAGUUGAGGCCCACUCAAAACCACCUCGUGGUUAAAAAAAAAAAAAAGUUGACUAGCUUACUGUUUGGUAUUUGCAAAAGAUGGCCGCGAAAAGAUCCAAUUAAUUACGAAGAGCAAAAGCAAACGCAAUCUUCAGUCUUCAGAUUUCAAACCCAACUUCAAAUCAUCGUUCGGAGAAUAUUUCUUUUAUUUAUUCGCUACUUUUUUUUUCCUUUUAAUCCUAAAAGAGAUCGACCCCCAUUUAUAGAGGUGUUAAUCGAUUAAUGGACGAUCCCAGACUUUGUUCAUUUCCAUUAAUACGGCUCCACACCGCAAAAGGGGGCUGCACGCUUGGUAUAUACUUUGUUUAAUCACUUGGGAUACCUCCACCAAUGUUCAUUAUUUUUAUUUAUAUAAGCUGAAACACAAUUACCAUCAACCCUUUUGUUGUCCCUCCUUUCUUUCUCUCUCUGUUUCAUGGUGGGUCAAAGAAAGCAAUGUUUAACAGCAAUUAAAUGCAAAUGCGUAGAUAUUAUUUUGUUGGGGGGUAGUUGGAUGUUUGUUGUCUUAGAUGGGGUUUCUUAUACAACAACAACACAGGCAAUAUGAAUUAUAUCCAUUAAAAAUGAAAACGGCAUGUGUAUGAAGGUGAAGUGCCCCUCAAUUCUCAUUAGUCAUUUCUCAUUUCUCAUUAGUCAUUCCCAUUUAUCUUUAUAUUUUCACAAGUCCAAGGGGCAAUAGCCAAGCAUAUAUGGCUUUAUUUGCUUUUGCAAUUUUCAAUGGACGUCAUUUUCUUUUGCUUUAUUAGGUGGGAGCUUUCAUCGUCUUCGCAAAUCUUGCACUUUCACCCAUUGCUACUGGACAUCACAUAUGCUUCUGUCACGCCACAGACAAACCUUUUGAUUUGAAUAUUUUUACUUGCGUGGGAAAAGUCUAUUUUGGUUAGACGAGUGUAGUUCGUUGGUUGGUCUAAUAGUAAUAUGUAAAAUAUGUGCUUAUACAAUGUGUAUUAUUAUUAUUAUAAGAACUCUUAAUUUACAUUUCAUGUAAUUUAGUGUUUGUCUAUUAUUAUCUAUCAAACGUACAUGCGUAGGAUAUUAAAAAAUGAUAUGAUAAUAAUAUCAUCUAAUAAGUCCCUCUAUUGGCUACCCCUAUGACUAUAUAUAUAUAUAUUGAAUGCAUGGCGUUGUUGCUUUUUAAUAACAUAAAAAACCACGACCUACAUGCAAGAGUGUUCUCUCUCAAUGAUAUUUUGGCAAAUGCUAAGUUAUAAUGAUUGUAACUUAGAGACUCCCUGAUAUUUUAUCUUUUUAUCUUUUGUUUAACUCUUAACAUGUACAUCUCUUACACAAUUAUAUAAUUAUACAUGGGCCACAAAACUUCAAAAAAAUUAUAAUAAUGAAAUGCAAACCAACCAUCCAAGAUUUGUUUAGGUUAUCAAAUUUUCUUUCUACAAGUGAUUUGAGAACAAUAAAUAAAUUGUAUAUAUAAUCAAUAUUAUAUACCUUGUCAAAGUUAUCAAAUGUUAUUGUUGACAUUAUAUAGUCCACAUGGGCACUCAUAAUAUAUGUGUUAGUCAAUUUUAAGGAAAAAAAAGUAGAAUUAUCAAAUAAAUUUUUAAAAUUUACAAAAAGAUAAAUAUUUUUGCCGGCCGCCGUGUUUUUGUUCUCUUAUCAGUUUCUUAUAUGUUAAUCUUACUUUAAUUGGAUGGGAUAAUAAUUAAUUUGAACGAUAUGUAAGCUGAAAAAGCUAACUCUUUUAAGUGCAUCUCAUCAUUGUCAUCCAUGAAAACCCACCACGAAUUUAUGGAAUAAAUUUCCGUAAUUUUUCUUUCUAGGUCAUUGGGCUUACGUGCAAGUGUGGUGGGAUCGCCUCAAAUGUGAAAAAAAUAGCUUAGCAUUUGAUUUGAGUUUAUGAGUAGCUUUGGAAAAGAGAAGCAAUAAAGCUAAUUAAAGACUUAAAGUGAGAAGAAAGCAAAUAAAGAAUCGAAAUCCAGAUAUUGGAGAAUCUUCUAAAGUAAUUGCCUUUGGAGAGUCAAACGAGGGAGGAGGAGCCGAUGAUCGUAAAAAGCUGUUUGAUAAAAAAUAGCACCCAAGUAAUGAUGAAUAACGGGCAAAAAGAGGAAGUUUCAGAAUUUGACACAGCGAUUUUUGAUGUGCUUGCUGUACGUUGAAGUUUCAGUGUUGUGGCAUCAUGGCCCAAUCUUCGCAGUAUUGUUCCCAAAAGUUAUUGAAAUAAGACUUAGGAGACUUAAGGUUGUUGCCUGCAAGUUUGUACUGUAAUCUGUAUGAUCGUACAGAGAACGUUGUCCAAAGCUAGGUUAUAGUACUUUUUUGAACAACUAAUAAUUUUUUUUUUUAAUGUUUAAAUUAUAGAGUCCAAUAUUAAAUAAAUAAAUAAAUAAAUUAUACAAUAUGUAUUAACAUCAUUAUCAUAUUAAGUCUGUCACGCAACUCAUUGAAAUGAAACUGAUCAGAUCCUACACAUGUUAUUGCGCGUCACGUGAUUAAAAUACAUUAUAAGAAAGAACAAAAAAAAAGUGGCAUAAUUCAUACGCAUGAAAAUCGUCUCAUUAAUUGAAACUUUGUGAAGGGCUUAUUUACUUGCAAUGAAUGAGAGAACGCACAGCCGCACACGAAUCAAAAUAUUCAUUCCCAUAGCUUUCCUCGUGUUCGCAUUAUUAUGUUAUGAUGGUGUGAGUUGUUUUUCAGUUAUUUUGACUUUUGUUAAUAGAGCAUACAAGUGGAAAAUGUAUGGGCAUAUAUUACUACUCAUUUAGUUGGAACCUGAUUCAGACUGUGUCGUUGACUUGGAACUUGAUUCAGAUUCAGACUGUGUCGUUGAUGAACAAUCCAAUGGUUGCAUGACCAUUUGCCCCGUGCCCCCAUCAAUGUCGUUGAUGAACCGACUAGCCGGUUCAUCAAUGGGGGCGGUGGUGAAGCUGCCGGCGGUGGCUGCCGUAGUUGCGAUUGGGGUGGCCGUUCCGGCCGGGGCAGCCGAGUCCAAUUCUGGUGUAGUUGCGACUGGGGAGGAUUUGUUGGCUUGAAUUCUUUCAAUCAAUCUUGGCAUCCAUAAAUAACGCACGGUGUCUUUGAAUUGCUUGCUGUUCACGUCACAUUUCAGCUGUUUUGCCUGCUUUUGAACUCGGGUCCUCCAAUAAUUCUUGAUCUCAUUAUCAGUUCUACCCGGCAAGUGUUGAGCAAGUUUCGACCACCUGUAUGCAUAUGUAUAUGUAUUUAAACAAAUUAUUUGUCAUCAAAUUUAUAAUCAUUAGGGUAUACAAACAAGUAACCCCGAUGAAAAAACUUUGUGAAGUUCAUUAAAAUGAAUAUUAAUUUAAUUUACUCACCUGUUUCCCCAUCGAGAAUGAAGCUCUAGAAUCAGAAGCUGUUCUUCAAGAGUGAUCUUUCCAAGUCGAACAUUGGGUCGUAAAUAAUUCAACCACCUUAAUCUGCAGCUCUUUCCAGUUCUUUUGAGGCCUGUUCCAUUGAAUUUGGCUUAGAUAUCAUUUUCUUUCUUUUGGUAAAGUCGUCAAAGAAAAUUUUCGUGGAUUGGAAAUUUGCUUUCAUGAGAAGUGUUUUUUGCUUAAGGACUUUCCACUAACACAUGCUCUUUUUAUUUAAUAAAUCAACUUGCAUCUUAACAUCUCAUCAUAUAUAUCAAUAUCAUCAACUUCAUAGUAAUAAACGCAAAAACGAAGCUAGCUAAUACAAUUUCUCUUUUUACGCUAAACAUGCAGCUUUUAAAUUUUGCUUCGAAUAGGUAAAAGUUCUUGAAAAAGAAAAACACUAAAAAGACAAAAGGGGAAAGGAAGCAAAAACUUCGCCGUUUCGAUUAUGCAUGACAAGGAUCUUUCUCUUUCAUUAAGAAAAAACGAAAAGCCCAUUUUACUCCAAGAAAAGACAUGGAGAUAGAAACAUGACACGAACAAGUUGAUGACUUCAAUCAUCAGCUUGUCAAAUUUUCCUCCGCUAUUAUUAUUAUUGUUUAUUUUAUUUUAUUUCACCAGAGAAUUAUCUCGACAGAGCUAGCGGAUUUUAUUAAAAAAAGAAAAAGAAAAAAAUUACCUGCACAGCGAGCAAGGCGGUUCCAUCGGCCUUCACCAUGAGUAGAAAUGUAAUUAAUAAGUUUAAAAUCUUCUUCAACAGUCCAUGGACCUUUUCUCAUGUCCAAGUCUUCUUCAGAAAUGGUAGUGCUUGAUGAUUUGAAGUUUCUGUUGGCUCUGCAAGCUCUCCCUUUAACUUCCGUUUUCUUUAAUUUAGGUUGCCUUAAAUGAACAAACUGAGUGACUGAAAGAAAAAAGACCCCUUCUUUCAGAUUAUGUAAAGAGAAAUAGCCAAUUCUUAAAAGAGAAAAUAAAAGAGAGAGUGAGAGUGAGUGUUUUGGAUUAAAAUAAAAAAAUGGGCGUGCAAAUGAAGCUGAAGUGAUUGUCAAUUUUAAUUAGUCAUUCUCAUUUAUCUUUCAUUUAUCUUUAUAGUGUGAUUAUUUGACCAAAGUGAGUGUUUUGGAUUAAAAUAAAAAAAAAAUAGCGUGCAUAUGAAGAUGAAGUGCUUCUUAAUUCUCAUUAGUCAUUUUCAUUUAUCUUUAUAGUGCGAUUAUUUGACCAGAGUGAGUGUUUUAGAUUAAAACCAAAAAAUGACGUGCAUAUGAAACUGAAGUGCUUCUCAAUUCUCAGUUCUCAUUCUCAUUUAUUUUUAUAGUGUGAUGAUUAUUUGACCAUGGCAUGCAAAAUCAUUAGUAGAUUUCUUAUUAGAAGAGUAGCAGCAAGCUGUCCAAUUGAUGGAUAAAAUUCCAGUAAGGGUCCGGCUAUGGUGGCCUGUGAUACCACACCCUCACUUUUUGUCUUUUGCUAUUGGCAACUUGCAAUUAGCUCAUUACUCUAACCCCUAAAAUUACUCUUCAAAAUUCAAAUACAUUUACAUCUAAAAUUAUUUAUUUCUAAACCAUCUUCAUAUAACGAACUUAUCUUUUAAUUUGUAGUUUUCACCCAUUAAAGUUAUUUUAUCAUGUAGCAAAAUAUAAUUCUCUAAGAUAAUAAAAUCUAAAAAAAUCUAUUUUAUAAGGGGUGUUUGGGAAGUGAGAAAAUGAAGGGAAGUGGGCAGAAAUGAGAGAGAGGGGAGGGAGAGAAAAAUAUAAAAGAAAAUAAUAACAAGUAAAAAUUAAAAUAAUGUUAGUAAGUAUUGUCCCAUGGCAUAUGCAAAUGCAAUUGCACUUAGAAAUUAUAGCUUUAAAUUCUUGAUGCAUGGAAGCGGCUAAAGGAUUCAGUGAUUGAAAUAGAAAGUUUGAGCAAUUUAUUUGUGUGACAAUAAAACUAGCGAUGAUUGUAUGCAAUUUUUUUUUUAACUUAAAAUGAUUAGAACCAAAAUAAGAAAUAUAUUUUUAGAACCAAUCAUGGUGGUGAUUGAUCUUUUUCUACCUUAAUUUUAAUAAGGGUAUAAUUAAAUUAUAUAUGAUCAAAGUGGUUAAUUCUCUAAUGGAUGAGGAUGGACUAAUCACAUCUCAAAAAAUUGAGAGCCGAGUAACACAUGUUAAAUUAUUUAGUGUGUAGUCAAAUUUAUCCUAUGUUAAUAGUGAUUAUUAAAUAAUACAUAGAUCUAUUAUAUAUUAAAUAAUUAACAUAUAUUAAUGCAAAUUUUAAAAUAAGUAUCAAACUAGGUAAUGGACUUAAGUGUAAAAAUUUUAAAUGACUUGUAGUUAUGUGUCCAAAUAUUGAAAUUUUAUCAUUUUUUAAUGUGCAAGCAAGCGGUAGGAUUGUAGAGUUAAUAACCUAUUAAAUCCAUCUAAGCCAUUAAACUAUUUUUAUGUUGAAUCUGAUGGUUCAUAAUAGCUGAUAAGAAAAUUAAAAAAAGUGGGAGUAUGGAGUCACAGGGUACCAUAGCCGGACCCUAAAAUUCCAUUAACAAACAGAUCAAUCUUUAAUUACUUAUUUUAUUCACCAAAAUAAUAAUAAUAAAAAAAAAGGUCCAGCUAUGUUGGUUAUGCUCUAACUUAAAGUAUCCAUUGCAGCUAUUACAUCUAAAGUUGAAACAACUAAUACUCAUUUCAGCUUUAAAUCCAAUAGCUCUAGGAAAUGUUUUAAUUUAGAGUAUCUCUAACAUAGUAAUUCCCUAAUAAAAAAUAUAUAUAGUAGUUGCUCACUUAAAAUAACAGUGGUAACAACAAACAUACAAAAUAAUAUUAUUUCAAAACAACAAGAGAGGUUCCCCACACAAACCGAUAUUUUAUGGGCUUUUUUUUUGUUGUUCCAUAAAUUUGCAGGUGAAUCCUCUAACCUCCCUUCAAAAUUCUUAAGAAACCCACUUUUCAUUUUCAUAUCUUUUUCUUUUAUGAAAUUGUAAAAAAGGGCAUAAGAUUACAGUAAAAUUUAAUUAAGUUUUACUAUUAUUUAGAAUAAAUUUAAUUAAAUUAUAAACAAACUUUUUUCUUAAUAAAAUUAUUAUUACUUCUUCAUUGUUUCAAAAUUACUUUGAUUUUAUCUACAAAAUUAAUUAUGUCAUAAAUGAGGAUUAAAAAAUAAAUAGGGGUUCAUAAUUUGUAAAUAUAUUUCGGUUUAAUCGAAUUCAUAUUUAUCGUUUUACGUAAUUUGAAAUAAUAAUAGAAUUAUGAUCACAAAAAGAAAAAGGUUCUGUGAUGAUAUUGAAGGGGUGGGUGAGGCAUCACAAAAUUUUUAUGAACAUCAAUAUUAUUUUGGUUCUGUGGCCACUGGUGGGCUUAAUAUGUAAUGCGCCUCCUUCGAUAACAAAAAGCUGAGAUAAAUCUCCAGCGCAAUUGACAAUUGAAGCUGCUGCAUAUUUCUGCAGAAUAAAAAAUAAUUUUCACUAUAUUCUUGAUAAUAGUAGCAUCGGAAGCUUACCUCGAGUUCUUCUUGGAUAAAAUUCUAAUAGUGGAUUGGGUAAAUAUCCGUGGGAACAACAUAUUGAGGAUCCAAGCCUUCCAGUUCCCACAUUAGAAUUUGCAUCCGCAGUCGUCUCCAAGUUACUCGGAUAAGUUUUGCUGGCCGCGUAAGAGAGAUUUGCCCCACAAUUUUUAUGAAAUCGAGCAAAUCCAUACAUGAACAGAAACGUUCAAUAAUAAUUUGGUGUUCCACGCAGUGGGUUCUCUUAAACGUUGAUAGCUUUCCCUCUCACUUGCUUAUAAUAAAUGAAUGAAUUGAAUGCCAAAAUGCCAAUAACAUGUAAAGAGCAUGUAGUUGAAGUGUUUGAUAGGUCAUUUUCCCGCUUCCGGUUCAUCCUCUUUGCAUUUUUUCUGUACACCUGAAUCAAGAGAAAUAAAUGGGAAAUUUUCAUUGUAAUUGGCCCGUCCCAGGAAACAGAAGCUGCUGGGCCAGCAACAACAAACCUCGAUAUUAAAAUUUAUUGACAAGCUAACAAAUUUGCCAUGCGACGAGGGUGUGUGUCCAACGUGCUUGCUUGUAUUUCAAUUUUCAAAGGAAAGCUCGUUUAUAUUAAACGUUUGCUUUCUUGUGAGCCUACCGCCUACUUUGCGAGUUAUGUGUGACUUCGUAAGAUUUAUCUUCACACAAGGCACAUCGAAUAGGGAUGAAAAGCAUGUGCAUAGAUGAACGCUGCCCAUCUUUUAAAUUAGUUAGCCAAUUAUUUUAUUUAAAUUAAAACGAAACGUGAAGAGUGGAGAUGGCUUAGCAAGAUAGACGACUUGGAAAAUUAUGAGAUCUGAAGUAUAUGUAUGUGUCUCGUAAGCUUAUCAAAUAAUUAACAAACUCACCGUGUUUUAUGAAAUACAUACUUACGUACAUAUAUACAUAUAUAUUAUUAUUGUUGAGUCAUGUCCUGAGUUGGUUAGAUCAAUGGAAGUUACUUGAGUUUAUAAGUCCAUUUACUUAAUAAUAAGAUAGUUUUUAAAAUUUGAUACCUAAAGAUAUGAGGUUCAAUCGCUCUAUAAGUAUCAGAACAAGAGCCAAAAUGAAUCUCCAGUAGCUAGAGUAUACUAUAUAGGACGAAAAGAUCGAGACCUAUUAGUUGUUUCAUUUGAGUGGGGAUUGUUGAGUUGUGUCACACGUUUAUUUUCAUUUUAAAAUCGAAUAUUUUAGUUAUAAUGAGUUCUUGCAUAUAUUUGAGAAUGUGGAGGGGUCUAUGAUGGGAUGGUACACUAAUCUCAAAUAAAUGAUCAAAUGAAAAAUUUAUCUUACGUAACUUAACAUGAGGGUUUAUAAGUACGAUAUUUUUUGUUUUUGUUUGGUUUAUCAAAUUCUUAAUGAAUAAAAGCAUUUGCUUUUAUGUGGCCUAAUGGGCUCCAAAAUUACCAAUUCCGUCUACAAUAAACCCUUUUGAAAUGUGUUAUAUAAAUCUGCAAAAGGUUCCUAUGGAUAUGUAAACAAUACAGUAAUUAAUAAUCUUGAUACUUUCAUUUUUUCAAAAUAACAUGUAACAUUUAACUACGACGUUAAGAAAAAAAAAACAUGAUGAAAUGUAAGUAACGCAAAAUUGCCAUAAAUAUAUUUUGACGGGAAAAAGAGGUGAGUCAGCAGACAAUAGGGGUCCCGGCACCGGAUUCCCUGCUGGAAGCAAAGAGGCCCCCAAGUCUCGGCCACUGAUCUCUACGCGGGUCCCACUCUGACCCCCUUCUUUUGAAGUUUCAGAAAUACGGAAAACGCAAAACAUAGUCUUGAAGCCAUGACCCGGGGGCCACGACGAAGCAUUUAAAAGAAGAAGAAAAACACAUCAAAAUUAAUUGAUUAAUUAAUUAAUCAAUUAACCCAAAAACGCAACGCGCGCCCGGAACAUUACCCGAACCCAGCCCCCAUCGGCGCACUGCAUUCAUAGUCGCUGCGAUAAUCAGGGCAGCUCGGGCGGGCCCCCGGAUACAAUUUCCCGGCGAAGGCGACCGAAAGCGAGAUCAAAAGAUAAAGAAAUAGUGAAAGAUGUGGGUGUUCUAUUUGAUCUCGCUGCCGUUAACCCUAGGCAUGGUGCUUAUGACGUUGAGAUACUUCGCUGGGCCCGAGGUUCCUCGUUACGUUUUAUUCACCGUUGGAUACACCUGGUUCUGUUCUCUCUCGAUCAUCAUCCUCGUUCCCGCCGAUAUUUGGACGGUGAGCUUGUCAAUUCUGUUUUCCUUCUUUUUCGUCCGAGCCUCUAUGUUUAACGAUCAUUAGUCGAUUCAAUUUUGGGGAAAUGCCUUUUGUUAGGGAUUUGGCAAUGAUGGCAAAAGCUUCUAUUUGAUUCUGGUUUGAUGAGUAUAACUAUUCGAUUCUUUCAUUACAUUUACAGACAAUAUCGAAUCCACCACAUCAUAAUGAGAAUGGAGGCAUCUCGGUCCUUUGGAGCUUGUCAUAUUGGAGUACGUUUUUACUUACUUGGUAUGCAAUAUGUCAACAACUUACUCACUUCAUUUAUGAAUUUCUCUUUUUGAUCUUUAUUUUUGCUUUCCUUGAGUUAUCAUUGUGCCAAUUGUUUGCAUCCGCUUUUAAACAUAUUAAUCAUUCAAUCUCUUUUGAGCUUCAUUUACUUGUUCUGUAGCAGUUAAGAACCCUUUGAUUGGUUUGGUAUGAUAUUUGAAAAAUGUUUGACCACUUGUAGUUGAGCACUUAGCUAGCACCAUUGGACUGAAUUUAUUCGUGGUAAUCACCAUAAACUGGAAUGGUUUCACUGUCUAUUUGGUGCCUCACUAACAUGCUUGGUAGAUGGUUUUCUGUCGAUCACUGUUUUCUGCAAUAAGUUUACCACCACCACGUGUUCACAGACCUAAUAUCUUUCUGCUUGUCCGACUCUACACAAUAGUGCCACUUUCUAACCUUGGGAGUAGUUUUGACUCAUUAUCAUUUUUAUCAUUUUGCCUUUUUAUAUGAUAGCUUGUCUUCUUGUUCUCUCUUUGGCUAAAUAAGAGAUUACCAAUCAUUCUUCUUGGAGAUGCUUCUCUUUGGUUUUGCCGUUCAUAGAUGCACAAUCCUCAUUUUCUAAAUUAUGUUAUCUCUAAACAGGGCUGUGGUGCCGCUUAUUCAGGGUUUUGAAGAUGCCGGUGACUUUACUGUGACAGAAAGAUUGAGGACUAGCGUGCAUGCUAACUUGCUCUUCUAUUUGAUUGUGGGAUCAAUUGGUCUUUUUGGGCUUAUUCUCCUCAUCACAAUGCACAAAAUUCGGUACAUGUCUUGUGUUCCUAAAUUUUAUUUUCUUUUUUGUUCGAUUAUGGUUUCUUCUUGGCCGACCUUGUCCAUGCCAAAGGUUCCUCGAGAUCUGUAGUAAAUUGUUCUUUCUUAUUCUCAGCUCCUGUGUUGUUGGCCCAUUUAUACAACUAAAUAUUAUAGAAGUGAAUCUUGUCUCACUUGCUGUGUGUUAUUUGUAAUCAAAAUGUUUAACUGGCUAUCGAAUAUGCUGCACAAACUGUCACAUCUGAUGGAUUCUCUCCAAUCAAGUAAUAUGUUCUCAUAUAUUGUUGGUUGAUUUCUGUUAACAGGAGCAGAGGUGUUCUGGGUUUUGCCAUGGCCUGCUCAAAUACAUUUGGACUUGUUACUGGUGCAUUUCUUCUUGGUUUCGGUUUGAGUGAAAUUCCCAAAAGCUGUUGGAAAAAUGCUGAUUGGACCACUCGCCAGAAAGUUCUUUCUCAUAAAAUAGCCAAAAUGGCUGUGAAACUUGACGAUGCUCAUCAAGAUCUUUCAAAUGCUAUUGUAGUAAGUUCUCUUUCUAAUUUUAUGUAAUAACUGGUUGAUGAGGCCACUUAUGUGAGGACUAUGUGGAAAUUGUCAUUAUUGGAAAUAAAGUUGAAUUAUCUUACAUGUCUGCCUUAAAAUCUAAAAGGACUAUGUAUUUAUGGCCAUAUAUAUAGGUCUCUGGCAGUUGUGCUUGCCUUUUUGUUUCUAUAGAAAUGUCUAAUUGGCUGAGUUCUUAUUAUGUAUCAAUCUUCUAGUUCCUGAUCACCAGAAAAAUGUUUGACAGGUGGAUUAUGAAAUAGACUUCUUAGCAGAAAAUUCCUGUUCAUUAUAGAAAAAGGGUCUCUCUUUCAUAUUUGUUUUUACUUGUUAGAAGUGUGAUUGUACUUGUUGGCAUUUUUCUUUUAAUGAUGAUUUACCCUAACAGGUAGCUCAAGCAACAUCAAAUCAAAUGUCCAAGCGGGAUCCUUUGAGACCCUACAUGAAUGUUAUUGAUGAUAUGUUAACUCAAAUGGUACUACAUGCUACAUACUUUUUCAAAUUCACUUGUUUCAACAAGGUGCUAAUAUUAGUGCUUUCAAUUCUGUGACCAGUUUAAAGAAGAUCCAUUCUUCAAGCCACAAGGUGGCAGAUUGGGGGAAAAUGAUAUGGACUAUGAUACAGAUGAGAAAUCAAUGGCAACUCUAAGGCGUCAUCUCCGCAGAGCUAGAGAGGAGUAUUACCGGUAUAAAAGGUAUAAUUGAAUCAUAAAGUUUAAUGUUGGCAUUGUGUUUGUCACUUCCUUUGUAGAUGUACUUGCCAUAUCAGCAUUCAUUCUUUUGAUGCUUCCUAUCAUCUGUUGAAAACUAGUUGCUGCAGUCUUCAGACUUUCCUAUUUGUACUUAGGUGACUGCAUCAGUCUUGUCCUACUAGUGGACUUUUGCGUCCGCACCCAUAACUCUUAGAUUGUCAAUUGUUUUAGAUAUGCUACUUGGUUGGGCCAGAAUAUCUGCCUUGCACAAAAUAUUGAAAACAUGAUAAAUCUUUCCUGCUUAGAUUCUACAGAGAAUCUUUGUUUUUGUAACAUACACAAAUUUGAGAAGAUUUUUCUUUCUUUCUUAACCUAUGUGUUAAGAUGAUUCAAACCUACAUAAGAAAAAAGGUUCCUAUUGUGUACUUUCCUCCUCCCUUCACACAAAUUCUGUAAGGCUAAAGUUUACGUAGGUCUGAAUUUGAGAAGUUUUCAUAAACAUGAUCAUAUAUCACAGUUCCCUUUCAACUUCUUUACUCAUUAAUGGUAAAGCAUUCUUAUUUGCUUAUUCAGAAGUUGUAGUUGACCAGUACUUUCACUACAUAUUAUAUUUUAUAUAUAGAGUCUGGCUAAACGAUUCUGUUUAUAUGAAUAAUGUUUGUUUACCCAGCGUCUACGUAAUUGUUAAUUUGGUUUUAUUUCCCAUGUACAAAUUGUUUCUGCUUCAUGCUUUCGAUGUAACUUUUAUGACAUUGAUCCAACAAAUCUAGUAGAGUAGUAAAUAUUAAUAAAUAUUACCAUUUGUUGAAGCACUGUUCGUCCUCCAUAUUCACAAAGAGUGCAUUUGUGAAAUCUCAGUUUAUUGCAAUACUGUUUUGAAUGUCAAAUUAUAUUCUCUUACUCAAGAGUUAUUAUUGCAGCGAGUAUAUGACCUAUGUGAUGGAGGCGUUAGAACUGGAAGAUACAAUAAAAAACUAUGACCGCCGUAGUUCGACUGGAUGGUUUGCUCUUAAAAACCUUCCUAUAUUAUAUCAUUUUCUUAUCAUCAUAUAUAUUACGGGCCGCUGGCUGUUCACCUUAAUUGUUAUAUAAUUUUCUUAUGAUGUUAUAUCAGGAAAUAUAUAUCAAGCUUUAGACCAGCUCGGACUGGAAAAAUUGGUGCACUCUUAGAUACAGUUGGUAAUCAUCCUAUUUAUUUACUUAUGUCUUUCUUUGAAGUCUCAAUUUCAUAUCGCUUGAUUAUUUGGCAUUACUUUGCGAUACACUACUCAAUAUAUUAGUAUUCCGCAUUACUUGGUGAUGAAUCAAUCAAUUUAGUUUUAAGGAGGAUGGUUAUGUUGUUCCGAAUGUUAAUUAUGAAUGGGAAAACAAUGGUUAUCUUCACACAAGGUAGAAUUGUAAUAUCAUGGAGGUCCUGCAGGGAAGGAGUAGUGGUUGAGUCAUGAAUGACUGUUGAAGGUUUAAAAGGUGAUUCAGGGAUUUCCAAUUGGGGUUUUGUAGGUUUAUAUGAUAGUUUGAUGUGCUUUUAUUGCUUAGAACUAGUGUAUGUAGUUGAAGAGAAGUUAAGAGAAAAAAGAAAAAUAUGAGAGAAGUAGCCAAUUUCACAUUUAAUAGAUCAAAGAGGUAUAGAUAUCAGAAACUUGCUAAGCUGGUGAAUUACUGUUAUAAGAUGGACCAAUGUGAAAGCAAUUAGGGACACGUUUUUUAUCAAACAACCUAAUCAAUUCAGUAGAGGCUAUCUUAAAUCCAAGUAAUCAAAUUGGGCUGCCAGAAAUUUCUGGACAACUCGAGACUGCUAGAUUAUGAUGACACCCAAAAUAGUUUAAAAAAAGGUUCCUGCUAAAACAAAUAUAUGUGCAGGAUUUUUUUAGAUGCAGAAUCCCUCUAAAAUGAAAUGACCUUUAAUUGCCAUCUGUGACCUAAAUUAGGGGUGUAGUAAAAUAAAUAAUAAUAAAAAAAAAAAGAAAAGAAAUUAUUAACCCUUGACUCCUUUGACACAAUCUUCAAAAGGAUAUGAUUAUUCUGGGCCAUUGGGUUUUUUUUUAAUUAUUCUCCACUCUAAAUAUUGUGGUAAGUCUCUCAUCACGUCUGCAUCAAUGCUUCAUGAUGACAAAUAUCAUGUAUAAAUACUCUUUUUUUCCCCCGUUUUGAUGCUUAUAAGUUGGCUUUUUUCAUUUAUUAUGUUUGCUUUUCAUUAACUUAUAUUUAUGAAUUAUCUUGACCACCUGUGGUUGUGACGCUUUUUUUAUUUACUAUUAUAUCAGUAGUAGUCUAUCUGAUUGUAGGUCUUUGUACCGUAAACUUUCAAAAUGGUGGUUCUUUGCAGAGUUUGUUUGGAAAUGUAUUCUAAGAAAGCAAAUUCAGAAGCUUUUAGCUAUCAUCCUUGGUACAAUGUCAGCUGCAAUUCUUUUAGCUGAGGCAACCCUUCUACCUAGUGGUGUUGAUCUUUCACUUUUCUCAAUACUUGUAAACUCUGUGAAAUCAGAAGAAGUGUUUGUGCAGGUAAUUUUUUUUUUUUUUUAAUUUUCCUUUCCUUCCAUCAUAAAGAUAAAACUUAUGCAUCUCGUGUUAUUUACUACCUUCGAGUAUAUUUGGAAGCAAUUCUAUCAGUUUUUGCAAGUGAAUCUGACUACUUCAGGUUCAUGUAGGAUCCAUCUUUGAUUUUGUUGAUAUGUAUUUUCUUAAAGAAUGUCAGAUUUGCAACCCAGAUUCUGUCAUUCCUUUCCACUUUUACAUAUUUUGCACGUCUUUCAUCUCCAAAAAUGGUUUUCCGAUCAGAGCAUACAAAUGGGAUGAUAAGAUCUCUUGCAUGUCCAUUCUGUUGCUUCACCAUCAUUCAAUCACAUUCUGUUUUAUAUCCGUUUUCAAUUUUUUCCAAUUAUUUGAAGAUUCAGUAUCCUAAUGCAGUGCUCUUUAUAUUUGUUUUGAUUGGAACAUCUGAGGAAAAAUGCAAAUCAAGUUCCCUUGUCCUCAUCGUAUAUAGCUGCAGCUGUAUUACUUGUGUGUAUUAAUUUUGAAUCUUAUAGAUAUUUAAUAUUCACUUUGUUACCCUGAAUUUUUGUGUUGAUAUCUUUUGCACAGCUCUUCGCCUUUGUACCUCUGAUGUAUAUGUGCAUCUGCACAUAUUAUUCCUUGUUCAAAGUUGGAAUGUUAAUGUUUUACUCGUUGACACCGCGACAAACAAGCUCUGUCAACUUGCUUAUGAUAUGCUCGUAAGAUUUUCCUUUGCUACUUUUACAUUUUCUUUUGUUGUAAAGAAGAGUAUGUAGUAAUUUAUUACAAGACUUAUUAUUAUUUUUUUUUAAGGAUGAUUGCCCGCUACGCUGCUCCAAUUUCAUUCAACUUCCUCAAUCUCAUCAGCCUCAAAGAAGGCCGUAGAACUAUAUUUGAAAAGGUAAUGUUCUUGUUCAUACCAUUCAUCGGCUGUUAGUUUUCUUGAACAUGUAAAUUCAGGCUUAACAGAAGAAACUGAACUGACAUAGAAAAAUGACUGUGCUUAUCCAGAUAAAUACUGAGAUUAGCACUUAUGACAUACAUGGACAGGAUAAUACGAGUUCCACAUGCUGUGAUUGAAAGUUUAUAAGCCUUUGUUUCUGUUUGUCUUUGCUUCUUUAAUUGUGUGCAACAACGUGUAAGGCAGCUUUUGUGUCUUGGCUGUUUUACAUGUGGCUUCUAUGCUUUAUGGAAGGCUUUUGGAGUAAAUUGAAAUAUUAAUGUACAUCUAUAAAAUUCUGAAAAUAGACUCAACUUAGAUGUUUAAUGAAUUUCUGGUUUGGUUCCAUUAUAAGUUAAAAAUACUCAAUCUGGUGUGUACACAUAUUUUAGCGAGGGAUACGAAUUCAGUAGAUGCAGUAAUGUCACCUGUUAAUUACUGGAAAUCUGUGAAUAUCUUUGGGUAGCAUCUAGGAACCUUUGGACAGGAGUGUCUUCAGAGAAUAGAAGUUGUAGGAAUUUUUUCUUUUGAAUAGGGUGUAUUUUGGCUGCUUAAGAUCUCUUCCUGUUUGAUUUAUCAUAUUUUCUGAUGGAGUUGGAUGUCCUAAUUCUGACUUAAUGUAAUCCAUCAGAGUAAGGUAAUCUUUAUAUUUUUAACCUUGUUUCUCCAGGAUGGACUUCUUCAUUUCAUCUAUUGUCUUGUAUCUGUCUAUUUGCAUGAAUAUUUGAUCAUAUUUAGGGUGCUUAAAUUCUGUGGUUCACAAAUAUGGAAGUUGACUAAUUAAUUUUUAUGGAAUUUUAAUUGCAGCGAAUGGGGAACAUUGAUAGUGCUGUCCCUUUUUUCGGAGAGGGGUUUAACAAAAUCUAUCCACUUAUUAUGGUUAUAUAUACCCUAUUGGUUGCAAGCAAUUUCUUUGAUCGCGUAAUCGAUUUCUUUGGGAGCUGGAAGAGAUUUAGAUUUCAAACUGAGGUGGAUGAUAUGGAUGGAUUUGAUCCAUCUGGAUUGAUUAUUUUACAGAAAGGUAAGCAUUCAGUACUUUGUUCUUCUUGUAGCAUCGGCUGUAGAAUAAUGGCUUAAUAGUGUUGCUUAUUAAUUUUUUGGGAAUUUUAAUGUAAUCUCUAUAGUUCUCAUUUGAGUUCCUUUGUAUUCUUAUAGGAUAAAUGUUUCUGCAGAAAAUUUUGAUCUGAACCUUUUUUUUUUUUUUUUUUUUUGAACGAUCUUGGCUUGAACAAGGGCGUCAAGUUGGUGAAAAUGUUGUUCCACUGGCAAGGAAUUUUAACAAUACUGAUUUUGAGAGUGGGGUCAGACCUUUUCUUUCCGCUUUCUAUUUCAUUUUGGACUGAGUCUAAUCCCUUAUUCUUGGGGCAAUGAACGGGUUUAGGAUGAACCUGGCUGCCAUUAUCUGUCAUUACCCUGUUAUUGCCUGUGUGAUCAGAAACUGAUAAUUCAUUUUCUAACUAGGAAGUAAUCUUUUCAGGAUAUGACACCCGUUGAAAUGAAGGCAACAACCAGUUUAGUUAAUGAUGGUAUGAAGGGAAGUACUUCUAAACCUUCCAAGGAAGAUGCUCGAAAAUACAGCACAAGCAGAGAAGCCAUCAGCAACAAGUAUGCUGGGAUGAGAGAACUGAGUAGACAGACAUCUAGUGCAAAGCCAGUGGAGCAGAAUAUUGCUUCCACCAAGGUCUCAUUGCUUGAUACAGGCAAGUCCUCCAAUGAUACAACUGGAGGGCCAUCCUCUGUUUUGGCCUCAAAAUGGGAAUCAAUGAAAACUAGUUUUCGAAGUUUCAGAGCAAAUAUGGGUGCCAAGAGGCUUCUUCCUUUACACCAAAAUAAGGAUACUAGACUAGUCUCUCGUGCUGACUCAUCAGAUUCAGAAUCCCUUGAUGAGAUAUUUCAGAGGUUGAAACGACCAUCUGUACAGCAUGAGAAUUUUGCAGAUGAGGAUGACAAUCAAAACGACACAAAGUAAAUAUGUCAGGCCCUUCUAGAUUAUAUAAAGAUCGCUCAAGUUAGCGAACCUGUUUCUUGUGUGAAGAAGUUGUACAGCUUUCCAAGGGGUAGACUCGAGCACAUACCAAUUUUUUUUGGGUGAAUCCUCUAUUACAACAGAAGUUAAGAGGAUGAUACUCUCUUAUAGAGAUUGAAUACUGAAUGCGUCUAUAAUUAGUUGGGAAACUUUUCACUGUUGAUCAGUAAUUCGACGUGUAUCAUUGAACCACAUUUUGGCAUACGCAGCCCUUAUUGGGUGACUGAUACAUGGUCAAUUCAUUACCACAGCCGUUGUAGAAAAGUCUGUUAUAGGAUAUAUAUAUGAUUUUUUUUUUAAGGCCAGACCGUUCUUUUAAUGAAUCACUGAGCUGAUUUUGAUGAUCGAAAUUUGAGAAUUCUCAAUAAGGAAGGUAGAUCGCUCAACGGCAUUCUUUCAAUGGUUCUGUAGCAUAUGGAUAUCAGCAAGGCGAAGAAGAUAAAAUAAGCCUUCAAAUCAGUGGGUUCAAUGUCAAUGGCGAUGCAAAAGAUUUUAACAAAUAUAAUAAUGUCAUGUGCUGGUUAUCUUACAGCAGACCAGAACAGAAGAAUCUGAUCUCUCUUCAAAUCUGAAUUUUGUAGAAUAUGGAGGUUCGCACUUGUGGCACCACCUAGUAUAAUAUAGUAAAUAACAUGAUAUGCGUAGGAUUCCAAGGGUUCGAGUGCAGCCGGGACAGAAAUUCUUGGGUGCAAAAAUUGACCAAUGGACUAAAUUUCCACGACGCCAGAAUACUUCAUUCGAGUGUAGAAUCAUCAGAAUGAAGAGAUGGGAGAUAAGAGUUAGAAAUAUGGGCAAUCAAGAAGACUUUGUGCACUGAAAAAAUCAAAAGCAAUUUGAUAUAGAAAUUCAACAAAUAAACGGGAGGUGCAUCAAAAUUGAACAAGUCGCAUCAGAACACCAUUACAGAUAAUAUUUCAACUAUUAGACUGUCGAAAUGUAAAUAUAACAUUUUCUCAUGUAAAAUGAUCUUCCGUUUAUUCUGUAAAAGUAAAACAGAAGGAAACCCAUCAAUCACCACAAACCCUUACCCCUCUAGGCUAUAGCUCAUGGCUCCUGGCUCAUGUUUCUCUUACGCUAACAUUCCUUGAACGCAUAAAAAUGUCCUUCUUCCUAUCCCAAUGGAGCAACUUCGACCAAAAACCUUGUUUCUUCUUGUCACUCUUACGCUCUCCAACAAAGUUGCUCGGAACAAAAGCAAUCGAUCUACUCUUCUUCAACCCAAUAUUGCUGCCAGCACUUAACACGAAAGAUAUCGACCCGAUGAUCUCCGAAGCGACUCGAUUAUGUCGACGACGAGACGGAGACUUGUUGUUGGAUGAGGAAGCAGAAGCAGAAGAGUAGCCAGCUGGUGAUGAAGAAUGUGGAGAAGAACUACAAGAACGAGAAAGCAUCGAAGUUUUCUUGAGAGAAGUGGCAGCAGCUAACUGAGAGAGCCUUUCUCUUAGACAGAACGGACAAACCCCUUGAAGCUGCUUGCGAUUUUGGUGCCUCUUGCAAUAAGCUACUUCCGAUUCACACCACCCCAUCUCCGAUCUCUUCGACUCUGGAUUGCGUUUGAUGAACAUAUAUUCACUUUUUACCUUUUGCUCAAGCUUGCUUUAACUGUUCCCUUUUACUUACAAAACCGAUGCUAUCUGGAUUGGGAAUACAUAGGCGUACAGACUAGUACAGAAGACGAAAGGGCAGAUAUUUAUGUACGGGUGUGUCGUGGAAGUGGAACGGUUAGCCGGUGGUCAGGAAGGAUUUCAAAGAAAUCAAAGAGCGGGCCCACUUACAAUAUCCAUCCAGACCCCUGGUAGAAUCAGUUCAAUCAGCAAUAAAUGAAAACGUGUCGAGCAGCACGUGUGGCACUCCGGAUUGGGAUUCAUGAAUAAGUCGGCCGCACGAGGAUCUCGUUCAACCAAUACCAGACGACGUGCCUUCAAUAAAUUAUGUCUCCGAAAAUGUCGCCGGCAGUACAACUAACCAUCUUAGAUAAAAUAAACAAAUAUCGAAAAAUCUUUUUUUCUUUUUUUAAAUCACAAUUUAGCUUGUAAAUUUAAGUUCAAUCUUAUUAUUAUUUAAAAAAAAAAAAAGAUAAUAUACUUCUAAGAAAUUAUAUUUAUUAUUGUUUGCCACAACCAAUAACCAUAUAAAUUCUGAGCAUUUAAAUAUUAAAGGUGAGGAGGCAUGAGAUAAGAUAAAGUAAACGUGCACGAGGCACACGAGGUGCUGUAGGCGAAUCCGACGACCGUGAUAAUCGAAAUGGAAGAUUUUGUGGUCCGUACAUUGACACGGCACCAUUGGGUAAGAAAGAGAGCAUGUAUGUAUGUUUCUACUUUCUAGCUGCAGCGACCGACAAGCUUUUCAAAUUACGAGUAAAUCUUCCGAGGUUGCACGCACGCACCAUCAAGUUUUCUCAUCCCACUUCUGGACAAAUUUGUGCCUACUUCCACGUUUUCUACGCUCCACUCAAUGCGCAAUAGUUAGUAAAAUUUGUUUAUCCUUGGGGUUAUUUUUAGAUUACUCUUUUAGUGAAUUAUUUAUUUUUAAAUCACUCACCUUAUUUUAAAAAAAAAUAUUAAGACUCUCUCUUUUUUUUUUUUGCCCAAAAAUAAAAUUCAUCAACCCACUCUCAUUUUUUCUUUAUUUUUAAUCAAAUAGUAUGGUAAUUUAAAAUUUUUAAAAGUAAAGAGCUAAUUUAAAGGAUCAGACUACGAUGCAAUUAUGAUACCGUGCCACAUUUAUAUUCAACCGUUAGAUACAUUUGAAUUAAUAAGGUCCACUAACAUUCAACAAUUAGAUACAAUUGUGACACGGUACCACAAUUGCACCUAAAAUUUCCCUUAAUUUAAAUAUAAUUAAUUCACGAGUACAAAAUAUACCUUUAAUCUUUUGACUUGUAAACCACUGAAGAAAAAAAAAAUCAAUUUUUAAGUGCCACGUUUUCACAUUAUGCACACAAUGACGUUAAAGUACAAGAGCUUUACAAUGAUGUGAAAAAUAAAAAAAAAGUAAAAAAAAGUACAUACUCUGUAAAGUGAGAACAUCCAUGAAUGACUUAAAACUCGGAAACAAAAAUAUUUGCUAAUAUAAUAAUUUGAACCCAAAUCGAGUCGUCUCCCAAAGUCACACACCUGCCGCGAGUUAAAGUUUCAUCAUCUUAGAAUUAUAUUAUAUUAUAUAUUCUGGAUAUAUAAAACACAAAAAAAUUGAAGCCAUUGCAUAUUUAAUUUUCUAUUUGAUAAGUUUGGCAAACUCCUGUACGUACAUCUCAUCUAAGCAUGUAUACAAUAUAGCUCAAAAAAUCCGGUGCCAAUUAUUGCGAGACCCGUGCAUUAAGGGCAUGACCCUCGUCGAAGGAGCUAAAUAUUCUUUCUUUAUUUUCAGAACCCAAAAGCACUUGCAUCCAUGCCAUGUCACUGAACCUUAACAGGCAACUGUAGAAACAAUUAAUUUGGUGGUCUGAUUAUUCAGCUCAUUCCCUUGAAACUCGCAUUGCAUGAACCGAAGCGUUGAUAAGAUCUUCCACCGAUGUUGGACCUGGUCUCGAUUUUAACUUCUUUUGCUGUGGCAUUUCAUUUUUUUUUUUUGGUUUGGGCUUCUCCAUCCUGAGCUUGUCCUACAUAUUGUGCGGGCCAUUGGCUGGUCAUUUGACGGACGUAACAUAAAAUUUCUUAAAACUCGUAUUAUGAAAGCAAAGCCUACAACUUAGAAAUAUGAACAUCUCUAUUAUUAUUAUUAUUAUUCUCCUUGGAAUAUAAACGAAUACCAAAGUAAUAUUUUGUACAUAUGAUUCUUUUUUUUUAAAAAAAAGAAAAAGAAAAAGUGGCUAAUGUAAGGCGGCAAUAUGGGGACUAAUUAACAAGGGAUAUACAAAUAAUAGAGUUAAUUGAUUAACAAAAGUACUAAAUAUAAAUCCUAGAUUAUUACCAGAAAUAUGAACAUCAAAGUCACAUACACUUGUGGAAAAUUAUUUGCCAUAACGAUGGGCAGAUUUUCAAAAUUUUAGCCCAACCUUGGAAAGCCCAAUUUCAAAAGACCGAAAAGAUGGAUUCUUUCAUAAAACGGUUGGGUCCACUUGCUUGAUUUUAGAUGAGGAACUGUCACCGACGUCAUCAAAAUUCCUGAAUGCUGGCCCAUGUCUUGUCACUGAAAAUCCUGGCACGAAAGCUGUACACAGGAAAGCGUAUUUUCGAGGGAAAGGCGAUUCCUCAUGUCGUCUCAGCCCGUACGUAGUUCACUUACCAGAAAUGAGGUAGCUAUCGAGUCCUGUCAGCUAUAGCCAAUUAGCAACAAUCAAACCAAGUUGUGCUGCUAAACCCCCGGUCCACAGCUGCCAUGCAUGGUCAAUUUCUUUUUUAAUCUAAUUAUUGUAUUUUAAAUGAAAGAAAAGCCGUCUGUCUGUGAUGUCAAUAAUAAUAAUAAUAAUAAUAAUAGUAGUAGUGGAAGAGGGUGGGGUUGGGUUGCUAUCUCACAAUCUCAAUCGCGCCUCAACUCAUUACUCAACAAAGGGACAAGUAUUAUCUUCAUUGUAAGUCUAUCCAAAAUAAUCCAUUGGCAGCUUUGGCUAUCGGCAGCGCGAGAAAGCAAAAACAAAGAAUUCUUUUGUUGUUAUUUGUCAAACUGGUAGGCCAAUACCAAUCUCGACAUUUCAACAUAAGCAUUUUGUUCUUUGGAAUCUGCAAGUUGCAUUGGAAUCAAUUUAGGUUUAUGCUUUUGGCAGCGGCGGCAAUACUAUUACCGCCGCUUGCAUGCUUUGCCACUAGGAGGAGUACCAUGACGGACGUGCAUAAAGAGCAUAAAAUCUUCGAACGUGUUGCAGCAGCAUAAGUACUACUACUGGUAAUUUAACUAUUUAUUAUUGCACAAUUUGGACAAAGGCGAUUUUCAAGAGCGAGUCGUGCCAAGUGGCUGGGAGGAUGGCUAAUUGGCUUGAGCCAGGAAGGAUCACAAAGUUUAAUGCAUGCAAAGCAAAAUAGUGGGCUGCAUUGAAAAAAAUAAAGAUAAAAUUACGAAACAAAAGGUUGAUGGGGACAGGGGAAAGGGAAAUGGACCCAUACACACAUGUUGGUCUUUCUCCUUUCAGUUGUCAUGAAAAUGGGACCCAAUUCUUUUACAUUUUUUCUACUCUUUGAUUUGAUUUCAUUGUGUCAGCACUCAACUCAUAAGCACAGCCAUGUUUGACUCCCUGCUCUGCCCAUCCUCCCUGCUAAUCAAAGCUCACAAACAAACACACGCUCGCUCACAGUCACAUUUUUCUUUCCAUGAGCACAGAUCCCUAGAAGCAUCUGCAAAGCUUUUUCACCCCCCUAGAUUUCUGCGCCCACUGUUUUGCUAUUUGCCAUUUGCCGUUUGUUUUUCUUAAACCUUUUGUUUUUGCACUUCUUUGUAUGCUCUCGCUUUCUUUUGUUUCUUGGUGAACAACAGUUCUCUUCCUUUCGUUGGCUUCAGUUUCGCUUUCUUUGGUUUUUUUAAAUUAUCAAAGAAAAGGAUCGUUGGAACUUUAAUGAAAGAAUCUCAACAUGAACAUCACGUAGAAAAGGAUCAUCCUUUAAGGGUUUGGUCGAUUUUGAAUGUGAAAAAUUUAAUUGAUCGUCAAUGCUAAUUUAUAAAUUCGAAAGAUCUAAUACAUCUUACUAGUAGAUUUUUUACCUUCCUCCACCUCUGUGUGACAAAAGGCCUCGAGGUGGAAUUCUCUUAUCUUAUGCAAUCGGAUCAUUUGCUAUUUUAGUUUCAAAUAUUGUAUUUGAUUUCAUCUAUAAAAUUUCUAAUUUUUUUGAAAAAAAAAAAUAUAUGUAAAAAUGACACCAAAUGCGAAGGUGAAAAACCAUGUAAGGGGGGGGGGGGGGGAGGAGAUUGAGAUCUGUUUCGUGUUUUUUUUUUAAUUUAUUAAUUUAUUUAAUAUUAUACAAAAGGCAGAUGUAAAACGAGCAGCCGAGUCCAAACAAAAGAUCAAAAGAAGAAAAGAAAGGGAUGGGAUGGGAUUCUUUAGUCUGUUCACAACACAAGUGGGUGAAUCCAAAAGCCAAAAUCCUGUUCCUCUUUUCAGUUUUCUCCGUCCAAUCCAGUUGAUGUUGAUUUUUUUUUUUUCUUUUUCAAAGUUCUGUAAGGUUAUUAUUUUCGAUGCGACUUUGAUUUUGAUACCGCGGUUGUGGGCUCCACGUCCCACCAACCCUGUCACCCUACUGGGCUCCAUCCACUUUUAUCUUUCCCUCACGCCCCCCCGCGAAAGUAUCUUCACGUUCGAACCUUUGUUCGAAUUUCUACCCCCGUUUCUCUUCGGAGCCUCUAUCUCACGCGUUCAAGGUUGUUCUGGAGAUUGAUUUUCUCGUGGGUCUAGAGGACUCGUCAGCUGUCCCUCUCAAUGGACCCUUCUGCGCGGGCUUCUUGGGGGCUUGGCCCACGCGGGCCCACUUAGCGCUCACCGGUCACCACGCAAAAAAGCACCCUUUUUUUCCAAUCAGCUGGGCCCUGGCCCAAAUCCCAAUCAAAGUAUUCUAUUCCAAUUUUCUGAUUUACCACCACCGUGCACAGCAAAAAACAUCGAUUUACUGCGGUUACUAGAUUUUUUUUUUCUUUUCAAUAUCUUAAAUGUUGUUUUUAUUGAAUGAGUAUACAAUGUUAAACUGAGUUAUUGUUGAGUAUUAAAUUAAGGGUUGUUAGAUGAGAGAAAUUAAAAUAAAUAAAUAGAUCUUGACCCUAAAUCCAAUGAUUAGUAAAAACUCAGUUUAGUAUUGAAUUGUAAUCAAUUUUAUUUAAAUUGUGUUUUUAAAAAAAAAUAUAUAUAUAUAUAUAUAUAUUGCAUUUCAUUGAUAAUCUAAUAAAUAACUUCAUAAUGACCAACUAGACAUACAACACAAUUUUAUAAUUUAUUAUGAGUUGUGUUGAAAUUGUCUAUUCAAUAAUAUUAAGAUUUCCAACGGUUAGAUCUUAAUUUAUAUCUUAAGUAUAUGCGUCACUCAUCUAUUACAUAAUAAAUUUUAUAAAUAAUAAAAUUAUUAUUAUUAUUUUAUCAUUCCAAAAAUAAUGUCACGUCAUUUAAGAUUUAAUGUUGGCAUCGUUAAUAAUAUUUUUGGUUUAAUCAUGCAAUGUUAGAUGAUAGUAUAGCUCACUUGGGCAUUGUACAUAAACCUUUGUCCUUUCUUUCCAAAAAUUAUGCAAAUGAUGAACCUUAGAUUGUUUCAAGUGCUUAAAAUGGACAUAUGCUUAGACCAUUAAAUUCUUUAUUUUUAAUGAAAUAAAGUGGGUUCAAAAAUUAAAUUUGGAGUUCACAAGAUGUAAGUGCCGCGAAAUUCUGGGGAAUAAACUUGGGAUCCGCUGUUGCAAGGCAGUGAGAUGUAUCUGUCAGAGAAUAUUUAUUAUUAAAUUUGACAAUUUUUAAAUAUGAUUAAUUUACAGGGUCCAGUUAUGGUGCAACUGUGGUAUCAUACCACAGCUGCAUCCAACCAUUAAAUCUAGCUUACAAUUGUCACUAUAAUUAAAUUCAAUAGAUAGAUGCAGCUGUGGUAUGGUACCACAGUUGUACCAUAAUUUUGCCCUAAUUUAUAAUAUAUUUAAGAUAAAAAUAAAAUAAAAUAAAAGAUUUUAUUCUUUCAAGAUUGAUUUUUUUUCAAUAUUAUAUAUCUAAUCCUUUGUAACGUAUUGUUUUUAUUCAUAGAAAGAAGGAUGUCAAAAUUAUUCACCGACAAGUUAGAAUCGAUGCACAUGCUGAGUUUGGUACCAUGGCAGCAUUAAAGAUGCCAUACACAAACAAACAAACAAUGUUUGAGCUAAAAAUGAGAGAAACUUUGGUUCUAAUGGUGUAUUUAUUGAUCAAUAAUUAAAAUAUAUUGAAAUUGGAAUAUGUUGAAAUCGAAAUGAGGACCAAGACUUAAAAUAAAUUAUUUACUUUAGUUGUAAGAAUUAAAAUUAGAAUGAACCUUGCUGUUAUUGAUGUGUUUACUAGUAAAUAAACAUUAUCAAUAAUUCUCAUUCUUUAUUAUCAUUCUUCAAUCUCACAAGUAAUGGUGUGAUUACUUAUUAGUAAUGGAAAUAAGAAUUAAGGAAUGAGAAUUAAUAAUUUGUUUACUUCUAAAAUAAAGAGGGGAUUGGAAAUCAAAUUGGUGUAGGGCUGAUUAAUCUGAACAUGAUUACUGAAGUUUGAUUCCUAAAGCAGGUUGGGCAUCAGAACUUUGCUCCUAGGACCAAUCAAAUUAGGCCACUCAAAUUUUAUAAUCCCAUUUCAUCCUUCUUUUAAAUAUUUGGGGAAAAAAAAACAUAUUGAGUACUACACAGAUCAAUCUUGUUGCCGCUGCUGCUCUUCGACAUCAUUCAUUGAGCUCCCGUCGGUCAUCGUCGUUGCCGUUGUUGCUCAUUACUACUUGCCAUCUUACUGUCGGUUAUUAUUGCGAUGAUGAUGAUUAUCAUUAUCAUUGUUGGUAGUUUUAUUAAAAUUUUUAUUGUUAUUAUUGUUGGAUAAGUUUGUACAAUAAUAAUAAUAAUAAUAAUAAUACUUCACUAAGCACAUUAUUCAUUAUGAUUCGAAGACAAAAUAAAUAAAUCAAUAGCAAUAUAGCUCAUUCUAAUUCUGAUUCCUGCAAUUCAAGUAAAUAUUUUGUUUUGGUUCUCAUUCUUCGUUCCCAUUUUGAUUCCAACCAAAUUCUAUUGUCAAUUAGUAAAUACACCAUAAAUAUAAUGGAUACAAAUAUUUAACUUCCACAAGAAUUUGAACAUGUGCAUCUCUUGUUAACGUCAAACAUAGUGUGAACAUAACAACCGGCACUAUUUUCUUCGAUUUGGUUUGUUUGAUACCCAUAUUAUGAUAUAAUAUUAACAUUUUUAAUUGAAGAAAUGAUAAUCCGUGAUUAUAAUUAAGGAUGGGGCUAAGUCACCGCAGGCGAAAAAUCAUAUAAUAAUGUUGUUGUUAUAACACGAUACUAUAACGAAAGUUUUUAAUAUAAUUUUGUAUGGUUACAUACAAGACAUUAUCCUUUCCUUAACUACACGGCGAUGAAGCAUAUAUUGAUUGAAAAAAGCAAAAAGGCAAGUUCUAUAAUGUUGAAACUCGGUUCAAUCCGAAUGAUAAAUUUUUCUUUUUUUAAGUUACGUAUUGCUUUUUGAAAAUGUGGUUUAGGUGAGUAGUUUUGAUGUAUGAAUUCUCUUAAUUGAUAAAAGAAUAUAUAUAUAUAUAUAUGGGUGGAAGUGUAAUAUGUAAUACAUGUUAGUAAAUUAAGCAGAUAAGGUAUUAGAAUCUACCUACCUAUUUUGUCUAUGUAAAAUUGUUGCAUUCGAGAAAACGUUUAAAGAUUGUCGGGUUAUUAUUAUUAUUAAUUUUUUUUUUUUCACUUUUGUUCUUUAUGCAGCAGAUUUUCUUUAAUAUCAGAGCUGAUUUAUGAACUGCGUUUAUUGUCGCUUUGCUUGUCAAAGAUAGUAUCCAGUAUCCACAAACUUUUUUUUUUUUUAUAUUUUUAAUUGUAACAUUAAUGUCGAUUUAUAAUGUAAGAUUGUUUGAGAAAUGUACUUUAACUUUGGGCACAUCUUAUCCUAUUAAGAAGUUAUCAUGUGAUGCAAUUUAAAACUCUUCCCAAAUUUCAAUGGCAUAAAUUUUUAGGAAUUAACCUUGGAUCUGCUGCUAUUGAAUUACUAAGAUGUGUUUGUCCGAUACCUUGACGGUGGAAUAAAAUACUCCCGCUUCUGAAUAUAAAAGGUCAAAUAAGCAGCAGAUGGAUACAAUAGUCAAUAAACAAGAUGUUAUUAAAUUCAAUAAGAAAUUUUGUUUAGCUCAACAAGUCACUGAAAUAUGGUAACAUGUUUUUUGGAAUAUAUAAUCCAGCUGAACAAGUGGAUUUAUAUUAAUACACGAGAAGAUCUAAUUUUAAGCAUUUCUUUUUUUAAUUUCCACUCUUAUCAGAUUGCAUUAGUGGCGAAGCUAGCAUCAUUUUUUUAGGUGGGCUAUAUUUUUUUAAAAAAUGAAAUUUACUUCUCAAAAAAUUUGUUUUAUACAAACGAAAUUAAGCACACUACAUAAGCAAAAAUUUAACCAUAAAACUAUAAAAAUAUAAUGUAAAUAAGAAAAAUCUUAUCAAAUAUUAAAUUUGUUUGUUUUUAUUUUUUUAUAAAAUAUUAAUAAAGUAAAUUUAUAAAUUAUAAUUAAUUUUUUUUAAAAGCUAACCCGGGCUGCAACCCGGGUUAGCCUACCUUUAGCUUCGCCCCAGGAUUGCAUUGUAUGUUCUUUUUUCUUUUUUUCUUUUUUUCUUUUUUAUUCUUUACUUGCAAAUUACUAGAAAAAAAUAAAUGUCAAUUACUUCUAUAAAUUAAGUUCUUCACAAUUAAGUGGUAAUUGAAAAUCCAUAUGCGUUAGUAACAAAAGAUUUUCUAUUUGAAUAAUUUUAUACAUAUAUGUCUUCUUAAAUAUUAUUAAAUCUCGGAAGCGUUUGGUAUUAACAACUCCGUAAUAGAACUGUCCGGCGCUGUCUUCUCUUAUUCUUAAAGAUGAGUUGUAAAUUUUUGCCAAACAUUUUACGGAUGUGGUCUAAAACCACAACUAUUAUACAAUAAUACCAAAUGGUUAGUGGAGCCCAAAUAGUAAUAGAUUAUUGUUCUUUUUUUGGGGGGGGAGGGGGUGUAAAGGUGGUCACCCAUGUUCCAACAUAAAAAUUUUUACAUAUUAACUCAUAUGUUUGCGACAUUGAUUAUUCCCGAAAAGUAAAUGUGUUAAUACGUAAGAAUAAUGUUAUCUUCUUACAAACUUUGAAAAUUCAUAAUAAACUACAAAAAGCAGACUUCAGAAGACUUUGAAAAAUUGAUAAUAAACUACCAAAAUAGGCCGGCCCCAAGGUUUAAUUAUCAUAUAAACUCUCUCAAUUGUGGACAUUUUAUGAUAAAAUUGACCCCAAACUCAUGACGAAGUAUGUGAAAUUGGAUUACUAAGUCCAAUUAAUACUAAUUUUAUGACGCUUAAUCGAUGAAACUUUCUAUUAUAUUUGGUAAAUUGACCUAGUCAUAUCGCGACUUAAACAAAAUCAUUAAUCACAUAUCAUAUCACAAAAUAGUGAUAAACUAAGAGACAUAUCACAUUGCUAAUCAAAUCCAUUCUUCCCAACCAACACAGCAAUGUAUGUGGAUGGCAAAAAAAAGUAUCCACCACAAAAUUCUUUUAGGCAGUUGUAUAAAUUCACAGUGAUUCUUAAAAGUAUAAAAAAGGGGGAGAAUCACACCUCACACAUUUUUUAGUUUUUUCUUUUCCUUGAUUUUCAGUUAUCUUUAAUAAUUUUCAUAAUAUUUAAUUCUGAUAGAUAUUUUAAAUCUUUAUCUGAAAUUUCAUCUUAAAUUACUUGACCUCUUAUGUAUCAUUAAUUUGGUAGUUGAUAAUCUUUUACAAAUUUCAAGUGAAUUAAUUAUGUUAAGUCGCCAUCAUUUGUGUUGCAAUCUAAAAAGGGAUAUUAUCAUUUUGUCACCAAAGUUAUUAUGAUAUAUCAUGUCAGUACCAUGGUUUGUUGAAAAAUGUAUUUUAUCACUAAACAUUUGGCGUUGUUAUCAAUUUACCACAUUUCUAUUAAAAAAAACGUUAAUGUUUAACAGAAAAUGAGUUAAAAGUCAAUUUUACGCCCAGGAGAAUAAAAAACAAUUUUACCCUUUGAAAAGAAAGAAACAAUGAACAAAAAUAAGAUUUAGAAAACAACUAAAAAUUAUAAUUAAUAAAAAAUGAAUAAUAUGCAUAAUUACGAUAAACGACAAAGAAAACAAUUAAUAAAAAUUUAUGUUUCAAAAUUAAUAUUUAUUUUACACUUGUAACGCAAUGUUUUGGCUUCAAUAGGAAAUGUGUUUGAUGCCCUUAUGACAUCAGUAAAACAUCAACAAUUUUUAAUAUUUUUAACAAAAAGGUGGUAAAUUGAUAACAACGCAAACAUUUGGUGGUAAAAUAUAUUUUUUGGUAAAUUGUGGUACUGACAUUAUAUGUCAUAAUAACUUUAGUGGUAAAAUGAUAAUAUCUCAUUUAAAAAUAAAUAUUUAGACUAUUUCACGGUAUUCAAUUUCAUUAUCCUUAAAUGUCAGAAUUACCAAAAAAAUCAUUCCGUUGAACCCGAUCAUAAAACAAUAACUCUUUUUUUUCUUUUCUUUUUUGGCUGGGAACACCUGAGGAUGUAACAGUGCAUCAGAACAACGAUAGGAGAUUAGCUAGUAAAAAAUUGUAGGAAAAAAUAUCAAACUGCCGAUUAAAAAGACUGUAAUGAAUCGAAAUUACAGAUUCAAAAAAAAAAAAGAUCGGCUAAGCCGAGCUAAAAGUAGCAUGUGGCUUAUUUGAUUUCUGACAGUGACACUAUUGAUGGGGACCUUAGUGUUCCUUUCUCUAAUGACUAAUCUUUUAGUAAUCUAUUUUUUUUUUUCAAUGAACUUUGAUUAAAAUAAAUUUUGUGCUUAUUACUUUUCAAUGCAACGUCCCCACUGCAAAUACUCGAACUCAAGUUUUUUUACAUUAGUUGAUGGAGAAAGGGCCCCUACCCAACAUAUUUUAUUUAGGACGAAUAAUUAAUUUAAUCAGAUAUUCAUUUGGGAAGAUCUUUAAUAAUCCAGAACAGGCAAUUAACAUAAUUCUCAAUUAAGCCCACAAUUGGGUUUAUGCGAAUCGCUCUGCGUUUGUCAGAUUUCAAUUUCUAAGUUUAUUAUUAGGAGUCCGCCAAUAACAAGAUAAUGAUGCAUUAUAAUGAUACAGCUAAUUUGGUCUUCUUAAAUAGGUGGUCGUAUUAUUAUUAUUAUUAUUAUUUAGAUUGAAUGGGUACUUAUUUAAAUGACGAAUACUCGACUUGUUUUACAUCAUUGACCAUGAUGCUGCUUAAGUAAAAUAAUGUGAUAUAUAUGAUUUAAUGUCUUAAAACUUUACACUAAUAACGAUCUAGGUACAAGAUAAAAAAUGUAAAUGUUAGUUAUUUGUUUUCAGACGUUUAUAAUAAGAUGCUAAAUAAAUAAAUAUGAUAGUUUAACACAUAUAUAUAAUCUAAAUUUCGAUCUAAUUAUAAUUAAAAUAAAAGUCUGACUAUAUUGAAAUUAUUUUAUAGUAGAACAAUGUUGUUGACCGUAUAAUCAUUAAAAUAAAUAUUAAAUUUAUAUUUACUGUUAUAAUAUGAAUCUAACGAUUAUUAUCAAUACUUCAUGGUCGAACACCAUAGCCAGUUAGCCACUGCCUUAAAAUAAUCCAAACUUCAGCUAAAAGAACAAACGUCAGUUGAUUGAUGUCUUCAAGAAUGGUUGGUUGGGUAAUGAGUACAAUGCACAGCUCCUAAUGUGAACAAUUGAAUGUUAUGUUUCUUUGGACCACUUACAGCAAUUGGCAGCUUUGUUUGUUUUAGUGAUUAGUGAAGAUCAUUCUGAUAUUAUGAUAAUAAUAAUAAUAAUAAGGAUCAGGCUACGGUGUAACUGUGGCACCGUGCUACAAUUGCAUCUAACCGUUGGAUGUAAUUAAAGUGGUGGGGUCCACUGACAUCCAACGGUUAGAUGUAAUUGUGGAACGGUGCCACAGUUGCACCUAAGAUUCUCCCUAAUAAUAAUAAUAAUAAUUGAUGAUUUGCUCACCUUCCAUUAAAGUUCCAUAAUCCGUCCUUGCAUACGUAAUUUCAGAACAAAACUUACAAGAAAGAACCAAGUUAGAAGAGAGCGUUUGCCGCGAGACACAGAAAGAAAGCCCCCAGAAGUCAUUCCCAAGUGCUUUCUCUCUGAAAAAGGCCAGGAAAUCGACUCACACGUGUCCGACAAGUGUUUGGAUCUAACGAUUGAAAAGUUACUUACUAAAAACAUGUGGCCCCACUGGAGAUGCUGCAGGUCAAAAAAAUUGACCGUGUGCGAUGGUAUUAAUCACUACUAUUAACACGUCUUCAUUCGGAAGCUAAAGCAUACACAACUCCAAGAGAGAAAAGAAAAGUGGAAAAGCAAAACAGAGUGCGGAGUCAUUGUCGUUGCUUUUGUCUUUAAACGGCCGCGUCUCAUUUAACUUUCCUAAUGUAUCAUCAACUAUACUGUCACUAUCCGACGUUGUAUGCCCUUCCACGCCACUCCCGGUGUAAAAUUGACCGUUGAUUUCUUUUUCUUGGUAAUAACAUAUCACGAGUAUAACGCAUUAAUUUAAUAUGAUUCAGCAAUAUUAUUAAUGUGAUCGUAAACAUAUUUAACUCAUUAUAACUGCCACCAAAAAUUUGAUGAAGACAUCUAAAACAUGAAAAAGCAUCAAUCGUGGUGAUUUAUUUGAGUCUAAAAUCAACUUAGCAAGUAUGUUAAUUGAAUGUGUAAACGCCAACCAAUCUUGAUUUAGUUUUUAUCUCAUUUUUUUAACAAAUGGAUCCUCUAGUCAUUUUGACUUACAGCAAUCUUGCACACAUGUAUAUUAUAGGCCAUUUAUGAUUUAGAUCAUUUUAUUGUUUCUAUUUUUAUUUACCGCCAAUCAAUUGAUAUAUAUAUAAAUAAAAAAAAGGUAAGCCAAAGGUUAAAACAAGUAGAUGAUCUGUAUCCCAUUUUUUUUAAGACCAUAAUUCAAGACUUUGUGGGAGAGUGUGUGUUGUGAGUAUAAAUUUUUCUUCUUCUUUGAAGUUGAUGUUUUGGCGCGGACUGUAAUUAUGAUGCAUCGAGGUAAGUUUGGCAUACUUUUGAUAGACACAUUUCACGGGUUGACUAAGUUUCUUAGUAGGACUUAGUUACGAGUUAAUGUUAAUCACGUUUAUAAUAACAUCAAGAUAGGUCCGAUAUAUUUGUGAUGCACAUAUUUUCAGUUGUGCUCAUUUAUCAAGAUAAAUGUAUAUCAAUAGACUUUUGAAGCUUGAGGUUCACUCUCAACACAUGAUGGUGAGCGAUCUCAACAUAUUUAUGAUGCAUCUAUUAAUAUGUUUGUUAUGUCCUUAGUAAAAAUUAUCUAAAAUGGUUGUUAAUCUAUUUAACCUAGUCAUUCACACAAAUCAACUCAAAAAUCUUAUGUAUCGCCCAAAAGGAAAUAUAAUUUAAGAUGACUGUUCGUUUAAUCCCUAUAUUUUAAAUUAAAAGUUCAUUUAAUCCAUGUAUUAUAUCCUACUAUUAAAUAUGGUACACUCUUAACCUUGCUUUUUUCUUUACUUUUACAAUAAUACCUUUUCAACAAUAUUGUUGACAUAAUUUUUUUUAAUCUAUAACAAAAGUUAAUUACUAAAUUACCCAAUAAUUACUUAUUAGUAAAUUAAGAAAUAAAUAUCAGUAUGAAAUAACUUGUAUUUUAUAUCAGUGUGAAACAAAUGGUAUUUUUCUUACUCUUGCAACACUGUUACUAAUUAUUAUUUAUAAAUUAAUUAAUAUCGGCUAACUUAAAGCAAUGUUUAAUAUCCUUGCAACAAUCUUAUAUUUAAUUUUUUGUAAAAAAAUAAUUCACUAAAUUAAUCUUAAAAGAAAAAUAAUAGCAACUAAUUUAUUUUACUUUUAAGAAUAAUUUGAUAAAUUUACAUUUAUUAUUAUUAUCUCCAAGAAUAUUGUUGUAAGAAUAUUAUUACAAAAGUAAAGAAAAAAUAAGGGUAAGAUUGUAAUAUAAUUACUAGCAAGGGUGUCUUGAUGUAUUUCUUAAAUUAGAGGAUUUAAAUGGACACUUAACUCAAAAUAUAAUGAGUAAACAAAUAAUUACCCUGUAAUUUAACUAAAUAUGCAGAAAUCCAUAAUGAUUAAGUCAGAAUAUAAAUUCAAUACGACAAUUAGCCGAUGAAACGAACAAAAGUUUCAUCUAUCAUUAUUCAAACUCACUUCACAUUAAUUUUUUAUCUCAAAUUAUUGUGCUCAUCGUAAGAGUUAUUUGUAGUACUUUUGAUUUGGCCAUUGCUUUAUGCGUGAUAAAUCAAGGUUAAUGAUGCUGAUUCUUUAGCGAUUCUUCUUAGUGUUAUCAUUAUAUAAUUGACGAUCUCACUGAUUUGCAAUAUGAAUACGAAUAGUGACUGCACAAUAAGUUAAAAAGAGUUAAAAUUAUUUCCCAGAAAGAAUAAACUUCAAAUUAAUCUUUAAACUUCAAAGAAGUAGAGAGAGCACGAAUCUCUAACAGAAUAAAGAACCCUAGAAAAAGAAAAGAAAUUAAAAAAAAAAUCUUUUCUCUUGAUAGGCAUCGAUAUUGUGCUUGGAAUAGACAAAAUAAAAAUAUUUAAUUCCUACGUAAUUAGUCCUAAUUGAAGAUGUUUACACUUGAACGUAACAAAAAGAUUCUCUCUUAAAUCAUUGGAGAAACUUAUAUAUGCUAAUCAUCAAGAAUUAGAGGGCUAAAUAAACUUUGCCCAAUUGAAUAAUACUAAAUUAACCUAAUCACCUUGAUUUUCAUUGUCUAUGAAAUCGCAAUCAAGGUCUAAAACAUGCUUCAUAUUAUCAUAUUCAUGUUCUAUCUCUUCUUCCGUAUAAAAAUUGAUUAAAAUGAUACUCAACUCUUCUAAAUUAUACGAUAUUGUUUUCAAAAUAUUAAGACAAUACGCUCUCUUGUACUUGCUUUACGGGUGCUUAUAAGCCAUGUGGCCUAGAAUAUAUUCUUGUAAGGAUAAUGGCCUGAAAGAUAUAUGAAUUAUAUGACACCCAAAGUUUUAGCUAAUAACAUAGGUUAUAAUUAGUUGUUGUAGAGGAUAUCUUCAUUGAAAUUUCCACACGCCCAAUAAUUUGAUGACAACAGCAAAUCCCUUAAUUUUAUUCUCUCUCUAUAAACUGCUUUUGAGUUAUAUAACUCUUGAAAUUUUAUAUAUAUAUAUAUAUAUAUAUAUAUAUAGAGAGAGAGAGAGAGAGAGAGAGAAAUACAAGUGAAAAAUCAUAUCAACAUAGCUUAAAAGCUACAAUAGCUAGUGUUUACCAAACACUUUAGUGCUGUAGCUUUUAAGCUACAGCUGCCCAACCUCAAUCCCAAACGCACCCUAAAUUAAUUAGUCAUUCUUGUUUGAAUAAUUUUGGAGGAGGUAAGGGUUAAAAAAUUAAUUUUUAAAAAUAAGGAUAUAUACUUUCUAUCUCAAAUGAUUUUAUUGAUAACAAGAGUACUAAGAUUGACCAAAUACCCGUUUUGUCCCUAUAUUUAGAUUUAAUAGCCUGUUUAAUCUCUAGUUUUAAAAAUAACAGACACCCCAUGUUAAAUAUAUUAUGUUCUUACCCUUAAUUUUUCUUUCUUUUUACAAUAAUAACCUUGCAACAAUAAUCUUAGAAUAUUAAUGAAAAGAAAAAAAUGUUAAUUUAUUAAAUUAGCCUUAAAAUUAAAAUAAAAUUCAUGUAAACUUUUAAGUUUUAUUUUACUUUUAGGAUUAAUUUGGUAAAUUAAAUUUUUACAUACAAUUAUUAGUAAGUUUGUUGUAAGGAUAUUAAACUUUGAUUUAAGUUGGUUGCUAUUAAUUUAUUUACAAAUAAUUAUUAUCAAGAUUGUUGUAAAGGCACCAAAAAAAAGCUAGUUAUUUCAUACUGAUAUUUAUGAGUUAACUUGUUAAUUAACUUUUUAUAUAAAUAAAUUAAUUAAUGUCCAUAAUUUGUUUACUAGGGUAUUAUUAUAAAAGUAAAGAAAAAUAAAGGGAAGAAUGUAACAUAUUUAAUAACAGGGGUAUAUAAAUGUAUUUUUUAAAAUAUAAAGACUAAUAGAGCACUUAAGUCAAAAUAUAUGGAUUAAAUAAGAAUUUACCCUACUAAAAUUAUCACAUUAAUAAUUGAAGAUAAAGUCAACUAAUACCUAACACAUAAUAAUGAAUAAUUAGUAACAUAUCACGUGAGAUAGAAACUACGUAUCUCAAUUAUGUAAAUAUGAUAUGAUAUAUGCCAUAUAUAUGGGUCCAUUUUGUAAUUACAUUUCUCACAUAAUCUACAAUAUAUUUUCGUGUGAUAUAUGAUGUCGUACAUUUGAUAUUUGAAUCUAAAUCAACAUAUAUAUAUCUGAAACAUGUUAAGGUAAUUUAUUAUAUAACUUGAGACAAAAAAAAACUUUACUUUUUCGAGAUACAAAUUAAAGAGAACCUUAUGUAAAAGAGAAUUAAAGGUACAUGAGAAUAAACAUUUUCAAAACACACUACAAGAAUUAAGGCCUUUAGCAACAAGUUUUUUAGCAACAAAGUUGUCUUUGUUGCCUUAAGUGUGUUACAGCAACAUAAAAAAUAUUUUGUUGCCAAAUACUUAAGAAAUAAAUUAAUAUUUAAUUAACAUUUUUAGCGACAAAUAUUUCGUAGUUAAAGACAUACAUUAGCAACAAAUUAACUUUUUGUUGCAAAAAGUUUUAGCGUCAAACUAAAUAUUUUGGUGCUAAAACAUUUAGUGACAGAAUCCUCGUCGCCAAAUAGUUUUGUCACGAGAGAGUGACCAAUGGCGACAAAAUAUAAUUUGUUGCCAAAUCUAUGUAGUUAAAAUUCUGAAUUUAAAGAUUUAACUUCUUGACUUUUUGUGACAAAAUUUGAGUUUUGUUGCUAAAUGUGUAUUUAUAGCAACAAAUUCUAAUUUUGUCACUAAAAGUCAAAGAUUAAAGAUUUAAAUCAUUUUAUUUCCGCCAAAAUUUUUGAUUUUUUGAGACAAAAGAAAAAGUUUGACGCCAAUGUAUUUUUUUACCAACAAAUGUAGAAUUUUGUCGCUAAACAAAUUGAAAAUUUUUAAAGUAAAAGCGGGUGGUUUUCCGCCAAAACAAGUUUUAGCGACAAAAUUGAAAUUUUGUCGCUAAAAACUCCAUCUCUCUAUUUAUAUCUCAUACACUUUAUUUUUUUCACUUUUUUAUUCUUUCAUUCUCUAACUUUUAUUCUAAAUUCUCUCAUCUAUAAGUUUCUUUAACUUUCAUUUCCUCAUCUCUAAUGUAUAAUUCUCAUUCUUUCAUUCUGUAACUCAAUCUCUAUCUUCUUAUCUCUUCUAUUUCUCUUCAAUAUGGUGUAAUUUUUUAUUUUUUAUUUAUCUUUUUUUCAUUACAAUAUUACAUGAUUAUUACAUUUACAAGUUAACUAAUUAUUGUUUGUGUUUUUUUGAAGGAAAUAUUGAAGUUCAAUCACACCACGAGAUGAAGAAAAUCAAUAAAGUUAUAUUCAUUUGUAAUUAAAAAAAUAGAUAUUACAUCUUGUAAUAAUUUUUAUGUAUUUGUCAUCAAUAAUAAUAAUUCUUUUGAAUUAAUUAAUAAUUCUAAUAACAGUACUGGAAUGAUCUAAAAAGCUAUGUGCUAGCUGUCCCGACCAUUAGAUAAAUGAUAAACUCUUUAUUUAAUAUUUUUAUGAGGGUCUAAUACCUAUCAAAAGGAGCAUGAUUAAUGCUGCCAGCGGAGGAGCACUCUUGGAUAAGACACCGGAAGUAGCCAAGAAUCGCAUUGCCAACAUGGUUGCUAAUUCUGAACAGUUUAGCACCAGGAAAAAUCCACUACCACCACCUAAGUGAGUCAAUGAGGUAAAUACUUCUUCCCUAGAACAACAAGUUUCAAAUCUUACUUCUUUGGUGCAAUAGUUGUCCCUAGGACAGUAGGCAAGAAGGACGGGGAGAUUUUUUUACCCAAUUUCUUAUUCGGGGAGGGGACGGGGAUGAGGUGGAAUCCCCAUCCCCUACCCAUUUCCCCCUUUUAAUUUUUAAUUUUAUUUUUAUUCUGCUGUACGGCCAAGGCGGAUGUACGGUACAUAUUCUUGUUAAGUUCUUCGAACUUUUAGGUUAUGCUCCCCAACUCUUGUUUCCACCAUUUUUUUGUUUUAUAUUUCUACUAUUUUCAUUAAAUUUAAGUAUUUUUUGUGAAUGUUUCAAGUUUAUUUUUUGAUCCCUACUUAUUGUUGCUGCUGUACCGUACAUCCGCCUUGGCCGUACAGCAGUAUUUUAAUUUUAAUAUUUAUUAAAUAUUUACUUAAAUUUAUUUUUUAUUUAUCUUAAAUCUAUUUUUUAUUUAUCUUAAAUCUAUUUUUAUUUAUUUUUAGAUGUUAUAAUUGCCCACAGCAAAUCAUAAUUUUAAUAUCUAAUCUAAUCUAAUAUUUGCUCUUGAUUUGCUUCGACUUAACGAUUGUGCUGUAAAGGAAAUAGUCCAUAUUUAUAAAGUGCCCAUGCCAUCAUUGAAAAGUUAAUUUUGAAUCUAAAUUUGAUUUUAUUUGUAACAAUUUUGAAUUAGGCUAUUAAUUUGUUCAUGAUAGUUUGUAUCCCUUGCAUGCUGCAUUACUUACUAAUUUAAUGUAUGUGACUUUUGUAAUGGAUAUUAAUGUAAUAUAUAUUUCAAACUUUACUUUUAUUUAAAUUUUUAUUUUAAUAUGAUUAACUCAAAAUCGAAAAAAAAAUGUAUUAGUUAUUCGGGGAUCGGGGACCCUCGGGGAUCCCCUGUUAUUAUUCGGGGAGAGGAUGUGGAUUCUCUUAAAUAAUUUUGACGGGAAUGGGGAAGGGACGGGGACAUACGUAAAAUAUCGGGGAUGGGUCCUGGGAGAUUGGUCCUCUCCCCUCCCCUCCCCAUGACAGUGCUAGGCCGACGACCUUAACGACAAACGUAUUUUUGUUGCAACAAUCUAAGGCAAUAAAAUUUAUACUUUGAGCAACAAACCUUUAUUGUUGCAAAAGAUCAUUAUUGUUGUAGUGACACUAAUAGUGAUGUUUUAUAAGAGGGUUCCAAACUAUUUCUCAUGAAAUCAAACAUUCCCAAGUCCCAAAAUUUAAACAAUAAUUCAGCUAACAAUUUUCAGCUGCCAUCGAUGUAAAGGCAAAGCUUUUUAUCUUCUGGAUGUUUCUUUGGAUCUUGGUUUAGAUAGGAGACAGAUAAAGCGGAUGCCAGAGAGUAAUGAAGUUUGGGCUAAGUAUGAAACGUAGACAUUGAAAAACUAUAUAAUAUAAUGUAUUGCUUAGAAUCUCUAGAUACAUAGUAAACAAAUAUAUUUGUAUAGAAUAGCCUAGCUAGUUAUGCAUGCAUAUAUAAUACAUAACAAUAUUCUUUACGUAAUGGGUACUUUGCACUUUAAAUUUUUAAAUCAGGACAAAAAGGGGUGGGGAAAAGGAAGAAGAAGAAGAAGAAGAAGAAGACGACCAAAACAGAGGUGCUUUUGUUAUCUUGCAUAAAUAUAAAGAGCCCAAACAUAGUAGAAGUUGCGGGCGCAAAGUGGAGCAUGCCGCCCUAUGUGUUGGCUGCCUGAACAAUACCAAUUAAAGUAAUAAAAGUUUAUUAAAGGAACAUUAACGCCAUUAAUAAUUAACCCUAAUUAAAGCUAAUACUUAAUCAUCAAUUCGAAAGUGGAAUCAUUAUUUUAAGCCAAAAUACCAGUAAGUGGGGGGUAGAGAGCUGUGCUGUGUUAAAAAAAAAAGCUAACGUGCAUCAUCUGAACUCAGAAAGAGAUAACAAAGUGAUUCCAUGUUUCCAAAUUUAAUAUUUACUGAAUCAAUCCCCCGCAAUCAAAUCUAUUACUAUUACUCAUACGAACCACUAACAUUUGUCCACGUCAUUCCAAAGGCGCUAAAAGAAGUGCGUUCGGCUGACGUCGCAAGAUUUGAUUGGUUUAUAAAUUUUUAGUUCUUUAUGUUUGUACAUAUGACAGCUUUCGGAGUAGAUGGGAUAUCAUAUUCACCAAUCGGAAGCUUACAAGAAAGGAACUGUACCCAAUUCCUAUCCUGCUCCUCCGAUUGAUGCAAAUAUUUUUUUGAAGUGAUGGUGACCAAAGGGUGAAAAUGACAUCUAGGAUGCGUCAAGGGGCCCACCUCACAUGCCUCCACCAAUAACUUGCAUAAAAGAGAAAAAUGAGUUGGGACCCACAUGGAAAUGUAGGGGACCACAACUUUAUUGGUAUGGGUAACCACACAGCUAAUAGUCCAAUUCUAUCUAAUGCUCUCUUUCUCUAUCCCCCUUCUUUGUUGUGUCAUAAAGACCAGGGAUAUGAAAAUGUAAACAAAAGCAAUUGCACUCACUUCUGUUUUCCCACACCGUGGAAUUUGAAACAUCUCUUUUUUUUUUUUUUCUUUUUUGUGUAUAUCAGAAUCAUAUUAUAAUAAAUUAUUAAGUGUUGCGCAAAUUAAAUAAAAAAGGCUCUAUUAUAUUAUACUUAAUUAGCUGUAUUGCGUAUUAGGGGAAUUGUAAUACAAUACUAUGUUUUGUAUGGUAUAAAUAUCAAUGUUAAAAUUAGAUUGAUUUUAAUUAAAUAUAUUAAUAUUUUAGGGCUUUAUUAUUAUUAAUUCUUAAAAAUAAAUAUUAAAUAAGUAUUUUUAUAACAUAAAAAUGACUUAAUAAUAAUAUACUAUUAUCAAAUAACAAAAUUUAUUAUAAUUUUUAAAUAAUAAAAAAUAAAUAAUUAUAUUUAAAAUAUGAACUAUGUUUUAAUGCAACACACCCUAAACACUACCCGUAGUUUAUUUUAUAUAAUUUCCAUUGGAUUAACCACUUUUUUAUACAAUACUAUACAACCAUAAAUAUUUAAAAGUUAGGAUAAGAACAAUAUCUUAGUGCAAUGUAUGUAAUUUAGUAAUGCAAGCUGCCAAUUGGCAGCAGUCUAAUAAUAAGGCUCAAAAGGAGGGACCAUCUCAUCUCUCUGCUCUUUUCUUAGCUAGGGUCUAGGAACCGAACCAACAAGACUGAAAAUUAAACCACCUUAUACGAAAGCAGCCCGCCCACACACCUCCCAUGAGGAACUCAAUUAACCAUCUCCUAGUCGCUCGAUAACGCAGUUAUGAAGCUGAGUUAACAUGUGUAAAAUAAUCAUACGAUUAAUAAUUACGUGGCAUCUGUUUUGAAAAUCUUUAUUUUCCCAUUAUCAUAGUUAUAUCAAUUAUCAGGAAGAAAUUGUUGAAUACAAUUAUUUUUUUUCUUUUUGUAGAAUAUGGACCAUUAGAACUUUCAUUAAUACAUGCAUUUUGAGGCACGCGUCUAUAUAAUUAUUGAAAUAUUUUUCUUAAGGUGCGAUAUUUUUAUUUAAAGUAAUGAUAUAGUCACAAAUUUUUAUAUGAAUUUAUUUUAUAUAAACUGAUGUGGUACGAAAAAAUUAAUUAAAUUAAAUAUCACUUAACCUAUAUAAUUUAUUUUAUUAUUUUAUAUUUUCAUUCAUUCAAUUAAUUAAUACCAUAUUAAUUUAUAUCAGAUAAAUUUAUACAAAAAUUUUUGUCUCUAUCAUUUUUACCGAUACAUUUAUUAUAGAAACUGCAUAAAACAGAAGCUGCACCGCAUGUAAACACCACACUAUUAGAAGAUAUAUGUGGUAGAUCAACUGUGAUAUUUGGCAGAGGAUGGCAGGAUACAUUUAUAGAGGGUCCCAUCUUCCAUCACCGUACACGUGUUCAUAAAAAUCAACAGAGUACGAACGCACAAUCACAAAAAAAAAGCACGUCAGGUCGUCAGAAGAAAAAAGAAAGCCCCCAUGUGCAAUUCCUGCCUUGUUAUCAGUAUAUAGCGGUUUUCCCGCUUACUGCCAAAACCGUACAAUAAAAAAAUAAAAAAAUAAAAAAAUAAAAAUUACCAAAAAAAAAGAAAGACGAUUUGCUUUUUGGAGAAGCGAAAGCAACCAAUGGCGUACGUGGCUGUCUCUCAGUUGAUUGGCUUAUUGUAGGGCUCUUCUUUAUUUUUGAUUCUUUAUUUUAUUAUUAUUCGUUAAUUUUAUUUUCCCCUCUUUUUUGUUUUUUAAAGUAAUACAUAUAGUAUUGUAAUGUGUGCGAACUUUAAAUUAUAAAGUUAAGAGAUGUUAUGGUGCGGCAAAAAGCUAGGGGACUGUGCAGACACGUAUAUUUUGGGAUCCAAUCAUGUGGCGUGGCUUUUUAGGGAUCCCCUCCCCUUUAAUCAUCUUUUGUCUUUUCGAUUUGGCAUUUGAAUUUCUUUUGUUUUUCGGUUUAAAAGUUGUGAUAUUGAAUAUGAUCUUAACUCGAGAUCUGUCUUACAUCCACUUUCAUUACAUUUUGCUAUGCGGAAAUGGAAUGGCCUUUCAAAUCCACCAUAUGUUUAAAGUGAAAACAUUUUAGACUGAUUGACAGCGAUAGGAAUACAUACUAUGAUUAAAAAAAAUUAGUACUUUUUGAUACCAUAAUUUCGGAUAUCCAAAAGACUAAUAUAAUCAUGGAAAUUUAGAUUACAUAAAUUUAAUGAAGGAAAUUAACUUGAUUUGUUUGAUAAUAAUUAAUUUAAACGUUUUAAGUUAGUAGAUGAAUGAUUUUUCAAUUAAAGAAAGAGUUAGCUGAUAGAUAUUUGUCUGGUGGAUGGAUAAGACUAAUAGUUUGAGAGCGUGUACUGAUUAGUUUAAUUUAGUAAAUUUCUUGGAAAGAUACAAAAAAAUAUUAGAUUUGAAUUCACCUAAGGUGAAAAAAUGUAUAAUAUCUUGAAUAUUUCACUCAACUAAUUCAUCUUAAGUAAAAGGAGGCUGAAGCCAAAGUAUAGCUUCAGCAAUAAGAAGCAAGCUUACUAGAAAUUAUAUCAUACUUUGAGAUUCAAUAAGUGCGUGAGUUAAUAAUAUAAAAAGAAAAAUUGUAAUUAAAAUAACGAAAUUAAACUUGGAGUGUAGAUGACAAAGAGAUUUUGCCAAACAAAACAUUUCUUUUCACGGAAAGCAAAUGUUUUGUCACUUUUGAUGCCUUUCGAAAAUCAAAUCCAUUUCCUAUAACUUUUUCGGAAUUAGGUCCUUUGAUUUUCAAAGUUUCUAUUUAUUCAUUUUUAACGUUUGCUAGUUAAAAUAUAUACAAUAAUAACUUAAAUUAGACCAUAAGAGAUAAUACAGAAGACUUUGUCCCCACCUCCCGCCCCUUUCCCCCUUAUGACGCACUCAGCCUUGAAAAUGAAUUAUAUGUAAAUCCUGUUUUGUUAAUUGCGAUAAUGCCAUGCUAAGGCAUUAAUUGUGAUAACAUCACGAUAGUGGAAUUUCUAACAGUCGAAAUUAUAACUUUCUAGUAUUGAUCAAUAUCGCAAGAACUCAAGGGAGACUGCUGACUUCACAGUUCACAUGUCGAGCCAAGAAACAAGUAAGAUGUGUAGAUGGACAGGACUUCUUUAGUGUUUCAGUAUUUACAUGAUAAGUUAGAAAAAUUUUAACAAUUUUUCCUUUUAUUCUUGACUAACAUUGGUCAGAGAUCUGACGGACGCGAGACUCUCCAAGUGUCCCAUGUCUAGUGAUCUAGAUUCUAGUCUCACAUUUUUCACUAUUAUUUUCUUUUUACACAUAUACUAAACUUUCAUUCAAGCAAGUCUACUUGUAUGAUGUAACACAUAGUACAACAUCCACAUCUAGUAUACAACUUAUACGAUCUUGUUCGACAUCUAUUACAAUUACACAAUUGCUUAAAAUCAUUGUCCUCACCUCUCACCAUCUGCUGCUUACCAGUAUCACUAUCUUUUUUUUUCUUUUUUUUUCUUUUUAUUUUACAACCGUAGGAUUUCUGUCCAAUAACAGAUCUGUUAGUAAUAGAAUUUAUAACUUAGCUGCGCCCCUAAAUGAAAUAUGCUAAAAGACAACAAUGUCAUAGCAUACAAAAGCACAAUAAAUUCAAUGGACACACCAAAUCAAGAUCAGAUGUGACGAUUGUUAUCCUUAUACAUAUAGUGGGGGGGAGGGGGAGGGGAGGAAGAAAAUCUAAAACUACAAAAAUAAAAGAAUUACGGGGCGAAACAAAGGGUUGGUUGCGGUAAUUGAAGCAAAGAGGAGGCAAGAAAUGGGGGAUAGUCGGAUAGACCGAUAGAGAUGUUUUUUAACCAACAUUUGACAAAAUGGUUGCUAUUUACAUGUUUAUGUGGUUACUAUAUUACCCUUAAACAUUAAGUUAAUUAUGUUUUAAUUUGUGCAAAGUUGACCUUGAAUUAUAUUUGAGUGGAUGAAACUAUCCGUCUACUUUAUUUUUUAUUUUUUAAAUAUUACAUCUAAUUCAACUAAGUGUCUGUUUGGUAUGACUUAUUUAAUGGUUAUAAGUGCUUAUUUAAUUCAAUAAGCUCUUAUAAUAAUUUUUGUUGUUGUUUGGUUGUUUUUCUAAUAGAAUUUUUGAAACUUAAAUAAGCUAUUUUACCUCUAUUAGUAAAAGCUUAAAUUUUGGGCUUUUGAGAGUAGAGGUUAAAAAACUUUUUUUAAAUGUCAAAAUAUAUAAAAUAUCUUUUACUUAUUUGACAAUCUUAUGUAUAUUUUAUAAUAUGACUUUAAAAAACUUGCCUAUUAAAGUAAUUUCAUAAAUUUUUAAUAAAAAUUCUUAUUGACAUCAAACAACGAAUUUUUUUUAGUAAAAGCUGUACUAACAAAACUCUUCUUAAAUAAUAUCUACUUAAAAAAUUGUACGAAACGAAGCCUAAAUCUCAAUAUAUUACACAUGUAUAAUCAAACCUUUUUAAGUGUAUGUAAUUGAAGCCCACUAAAGUUUUGCAUAAGAAAUCACUCUCACAGGUACUGGGGGGACUCAAAAAGAGGUGCUGACUAACCAAACCAAGGGUCAUGGCAUUUAGAGUUAAAAAAAUAAACAAAAUAAAUUGUUUUAUUUAUAUAUUUUACUUAAUUAUUUUAUUUUUAAAAUAAAUUGGUUUAUUAACAUCACUUAAUUUAGUAAAAAUAUUAUGUUGAAUUAAAAUAAAUUAAAAGAUACAAAACCAAAACUAACCAUCGCCAGCCGGAGGACUUGACCCUGACAGGUAGCUUGCAUUGCCAUCCUGACAACUUGACCUUGAUCAGUAGCUAGCAUUUAAUGUACUUGAUUUUUUUUUCUGAGAACUUUUACUUUAUUAUUAUAAUUAAAGAACUUGUUAAGCUACAUGAUCAUAUAACUCACGAGCUAUCUAUCACUAUAAUCAUGCCAGAUGCUGCACAUUAUAAUAAAUAUUUUAUACCAUAAUUUAAUGCAUAUUAUAGCACAUUAUUGUUUUUAUAAAGUUAUUUUGCUUUAAUUCAAUUAAUGUCAAAAGAGGGAUAAAGUUUAUGAAAACUUUUAAGUUUUAACCGAGGUUGCCAAGCACCGGAAAUGGCACAACCAACUGCGGACAGCCCUGCAAGCAGCAGCAGCAAAUUGCAAGCAAACUUCCAAAUUUGACCUAGUUAUCAAUUUCGCUACCAUGUACGAUCCUUAACAUUAAAACAAUAGCACUCAAUUUCAAGGCGAGUUAUCAAAAUUAACCGGAUAAUACCAUCAUGUUAAUAACAAAAAAUUUCAAGGAAAAUCAAGAGAAAAAUAAUCCUUGAAAAGAUUCUGCAUUUUAAUCAAGUACCCAAUAAUUUAUUUAUGGAAACAUCGAAAGCCGCCUUCAAAAUAGUUGCUGGUUUAGCUUCUGUGAGUUUUCAAAUAGCUGGGCAAGUUGCAAGAUUAGGAAAACAAGUAGUUGCUAAAUUUAGCAAAUAGUAAAAUAGCCGGCAUUCAUGGCAGCAGAAAAAGAUUAUUGAUUUCUCCAUUACAGGAUUUCUUUUUCAUUAAAAAAAAAAAAAAAAACCUCUAGGGUUUGAAAAUAUUUCUUCAUUUUCUUUUUUACACGAAAGGAGCCUUGCAAUUACGACCUAAUCAUUCCCGCACGGCUCAGUGAAAAUCUAAACCCCCCCUUACCCAUUGCGUCACCUUUCACCCAAGCCCACGUGAACUCUCUCUGCCCUUCUUUGGUCCGCACGUGCAUUUGAUCCUUUUUACUGCUUUAAACCCCCCAUCGGUUUUCACUCAUCAUCUUCUCUCUUCUUCAUCGACUGAUCAAUUUUCCAGAGUUCGCAGAGUGAAAUUUUUUAGUUACAUUACUGAAAUUUUUUUUAGCCCAUUAAUUCCUUCCCCAUAUAAACACCCACGUGUCUUGUUCUUAUUUAAUCAUUGAUCUAGCUAGGUCCACUGAUCAGAACAAUACCAUGGAAGAGAAGGAGGCUGCUCAUCAGAGAAGAAAUUGCAGGUCUCAUCACCAAAGAAAUUGUGCUCUUCCAUCUUGACAAACUGAGCCUGGUACGUUGGUUUUGAGAAUUCGAAGCAGUUAAUCGAAAGUUGAUGAGGCUGGCUCUGAAUGAUAACACCAUCAGAUGAAGAAAUGGCAGCGUUAGGGCUGUGGCUGUUGUUGCUGUUGUGGAAGUUGUUGUUAUCUUCGUUGUUCAAGAUGGCACUCGAAUCGCUAUCUGAUGACCCGUCCUUCAAAUCUGGAAAGAGCGAGAUUCCCAACACUCCAUUAUCAUAGUUCAGUUCUUGAUCAGGUUCAUCAGAAAUGUUACCGGCAGCAGCUAGAGAAAUUGCGGUAGCGUUAGUAGGAGGAGCUACAGCGGCGGCUUGUUUAUCAUCGCUUUCUUGAUUGCGAUCGAGAGUGGCUUUGUUUUGAUGAUCAGUCUCAUGCACAAUUGUCUCUUCUUGUUUCACAGAAAUAUUGCUCUCCGUGUUCUCUUCAUUCAGCUUUGAUUUCAGCUCUCUUAUCUGUGUGGAAUAACAGCAACAUACAUGUGAAAACAUGUUAUCUUAUUCUUAAUCAUUGUAGUUAUGUAAAUAUACAUAUGUUUAUAUUUAUAUGGUUUCAUGAAAGCACUUUUGUCAUAUUCUUCUUUCUUUAAUUAUUUAUAUAUAGAUGGGGGGGGGGAAGAGAGAAUUAAACUAUUGUUACCUCUUUAAGCAAGGCUUCAUUGUCGUGUUGGAGGGAGUCAUAAUUGAGCUUGAGAGCAUCAUAAUUUGCCUUAAGAACGCCGUAAUCUCUUUCAAGUUGCUUGGUUUUCCAACGAGCGCGUCGGUUUUGGAACCAAACAGCAACUUGUCUUGGCUGCAGCCCAAGUUCUUGUGCCAACUUCACUUUUCUCUCGGGCUCAAGCUUGUUUUCCACCUCGAAGUUCUUCUCCAAGGCCUUCACCUGAUCCACGCUCAGUCUCCUCUUUUUCUCCGAGACGUGCCCUCCGGAUUCUUCUAAACACCCCUCUUCAUCCAGACCGUCCAACAUCGUCUGGAAUUCUCGACUGUAAACUUGGUUGUUUCUCGGACUCUGCUCGUCUGAUUGAUAAUAAAUCACAAAAAAACAAUUAUUUAUUUUUAAUUAGUAAGGAAAAGAUUUGAUAAUUGCGAAAAUAUUUUGAAAUUAACAUGGCUGGUAUUCUUAAUUAACAGCAACCUGUGGCUGGGCAGAUGGACAUCAAAGCACCCAAGGAAUCAUCUGAGCUGCAAAGUGAUCGCUUCAUGCCUGAUGAUGAAGUGAAGCCGACUGUAGUAAGCAGAUCUAUUUUCUUAGAUCGGAAAUUUUUUUGAUUUUUUAUUUUUUUAAGUGGAUCUCUCAAGUUUUAAGAAGUAGCUUUAAGAGGAGUUUCUUCUUUAGGACUUGAAAGAGCAGCUGCCGUGUCUGAAAAUAGAGCGCUGUUCUGUAUAAUAAUACUACAAUUGUACAACAACUCCUCUUCUCUCUUUAGUUCAACGUAUUUCUUCUCCCUAUUUAACACUUGUUGCCCCUCUGAACCCAUAAAAAUGAAUUUAAACGAAAACAGGAAAAAAAAAAAAAAGAAAGAAAAAUACUAAUUACACACAAAGAAAGAAAAAUACUAAUUACACACAAAAAAAAAAAAAAAAGAAAGAAAAAUACUAAUUACACACAAAAGACUCAAACCCAACAAUCUAAAACUUUCACUGUAAUUAAAACCCAACCCACAAGAGAAGUAAUCAAAGAAAGAAACUCUCUCACUCCACUCUUUCUUUUCUCUUUACAUCACUUAACUCAACAAAAAAUUUAAGAGAGCUGAGUAGUAUUGAAUGAGCACAAUAGUCUCGGACUGCUCAUCUACAAAUGAAAUUAUUUGGACUAAAGAGAGAGGAAUUGGGAGAUCAAUGAACCAGUUAAGAAAUUACAACACAGCUGGCCACGGCCUUGCCCGUGGUCUCUCUUUAAAUAAACCAACUUGGGUCAGGGUUUGGGUUAGAAUCUGAC
rnacentral:lncRNA from 1 species